CCCGAUAGAAUUAGACCUGAAUAAAGUAUUUCGUAUCAUAAGCAUACAAAGUAAUAGCACAAAAACAAUGUGCAGCCAAGCAGGAAAUUCUCAACUAGUAAUAUCGCAUCGGCCUCUUCUGCCUUCAGGCGUAACUCUUCCAGUUCCUUCCAUGGCGAAAUGGUUUCUGAGUCCUGCCGAUAGCUCUGCGGUUCCGGUCUCAAUUCGUCUUGAAUUUACUUUAUUCAGUUGAAGUUUCUCAAUUUAAACUGGUGCCAAUCGUAGCAAAAAGCCUCCCUUGACGAUUUCAUUAUCGUUCGUUUUUGUCACUGCCUCCACCUUCGGUUUCUAUCACUUUCGUUCUCCGACGGAGGAGAAUAGUCGUGACUGAAACUAAGACAGAACUCGGAUUCUUCGCUUCGAGCUCUUCAUCAUUCGGUUACUGCUACAAUAUUGAAGAUAAGUUCUCUCUCAUUCUCUGGAUUUCAUUUUUCAAUUCAAGCAACGGCAUUGAUUCUCGGCCCUAUUCUGAAUCUCCAGUGGCUUCCUUAUCGACUUUCCCUCACCAUCGCCCUCUGGACACCGUUGGCACACACUGGUCGUCGCCAUCCGAAGCUCUGUUCGCCCCUGUUCUCGGUCAUCAUUGCUGAAGUGCUCGAACUGCAGUCAGCAUAUCUCUCAUGACGAUUCCAGUUCACAAAGCUGCUUCCACGAUCACCUUACUAAGGUCCAAUAAUGAAUCGCGAGAGGUGAUUAUCCUCUAUCCAAUCGAAUCACAUAUGCUCUGUUUCAUGGUGUUCUACGUACAAACCACUGCCUGGGUAAAAAUCAAUUAUGACUGAGCCUGUGUUAAUGGUUUGAAUUUGCUACGUUGCUUUGUGAUGAUCUCGUUCACAUACAUGUACUGUAUUGACAUCCAUAUUUGAUUUUCAUAUCUGAUUUUGUAGUGCGUGCUUGAUCUGAGACAUUUUACAGUAUGUUUGUCGACUUACUUUCGUCAAUUGGUUCAAUGCAGGUAUAGAAAACAUCGAGUCUCGACAUGUUGUGCUGAUCAACGAACCUGCGUUUGGAUUUGCUGGAACUAGCUUAUACCCGACUGGUAAUGUUUAGCUCAUUGAUAUGGUGUUGGGUUGUUUAAUUACUUUUCUCUGCUAAAUCCUACCUGCGAGAUGUUUCGCGUGUGUAUACCAUUUUAGAACUGAACAUCUCAAUGGAUUGAAAAGUAUAUAAUGGUCGUAGUUUGUCUGCCGCUGCGUCUGUUGAUCAUGUGGCCACGGGAAAUCCACUCUUACAGAUUCAAGCAGUAUGCAGAAACUUCACUAUACUUUUGCUAUCAGCAAAGGUGGUCAUUGUAAGCUCGAUGAAAGUGCUCCCAGAAGAACCAAGUAAUGAUCUUCGGUAACCAGAAAGUGGGACGGAGUCGCAGCAACGACCAUCUAGUUCGUGAAUAAUUCCCCCAGAAAUGAAAAAUAGAUACGAGAGAAUCUUCUCAAGUAUUAAGGAAAGUACAGAGGCAUAACAACUAUCAGAGGAAAAGGUCACGAGUUUCUAUCUUCAGACUGCUGGAACACACAAAUUGAAUGCUCUCAAAGGAGAUCUGAUUUUUCAUUAAAAAUGCUUCAAAAACAACGACAUACCUCUGAAGGAUCGAUCUAGAUGUCAAUCAUCUUUCGAAUAAAAAUGCAGCCGAGUCUUGAAAGGCCCAAGACACCUUGAACAAAAUAGACCAUCGCAACUGCAAUAUUGUCUGGGGACAAGUCGACCCCAAAAAACUUAUUGAACUCGUAUAGCUUUUUUCCUUGCGAAGAACAUUUUUACUGGAAGUGCUUGUUUCUCUGUGCUUAAAAUAUCACUAGAAUUAGAAGAGAUUAUUACGUGAAAUGAUUCCCUAGGAUUCAGGAAUUGGACAUGCUCUUACAAUAUCACUAGAAUUAGAAGAAAUUAUUACGUGAAAUGAUUCCCUAGAAUUACUCCAUGUCACUAGCUAAUCUUUAUAAAAUAAAGAUCUUGUCAUUUCAUCGUAAGUUGCAAAAUUUGAAAUUGGUGCGAUUCAGCCUGUCAAAUUAAAAAGAAAAGAAAAGAUGUGCCUGUCAUUUUAUAUACAGUACAGGUAGUUACAAUCAAAUCUGUUGCAAAGUAGACAUGAACGUUGAAAAGAUUACAUAUCAGAAAUUGAAAACCACUGACCAGUAAAAUUACAUAACAAAACUUGAAAAUUGAAAUAUAAAUAACAAAACAUAUAUUAAAGAUAUUCUGAUAAUAACCCUAAAUUUGAACCAGGUGCCACCACAAUGAGACUGUCCUUCAAAAGAUUAAACCAAUCAUAAGAUAAUUUAUAAAAGCGUCAGCUAACUAAUUAGCAAUUGGAAUACAUAUUGAAAUAAUUUCACCAGAUGCGAUUUUGUCCUGAAUAUCAAUGUGCUUGGUGUGAGCAUGGAAAGCCAAAUUAGCAGCUAAAUAAGUGGCUCUAAUAUUAUCACAUAUUAUGACGGCCCGAGCGGCGGUGCGCGGGGAGGAGGGAUGGCGGUGCGUCCGCGCCUCGGUCCCCGGAUGUGCGCAAGGAAGGGGUCCUCUCCCUCUUGUCCCACAUCGCUUAGGGGGGGAGUCCAGGGCCAGUUUAUAAUGGCUUGGGCCCCUUAAUUUGUGUGACGCGUUUUAAAACCAUGAGAACUCGGUGUUCAAAUUGGACAAUAUCGGGCCUGGGUCAUUACACAUAUGAUUUACAGCCAGUUUAGGUGAAAAUACAUGAAGAUCAUAUGACUUCUCUCAAAUCCAAUAAGUUUCUACGACUGCAGAGGCGAAAACUCCCGUAUUCAGAUUCCGCGAUGUCAUAUUGUACCCAAUAAAAGCUAAGUAUCCGGAUGCUAAGUGAUGAGUAUCGGGACAACCGCCCCAAGAGCAUGAUUUAAUGUUAACAAGGAGAUGUCGAAUGAUGGUUUCAAUAACAGUCCAUGAUCAAUGGUUCCAUUAAAAUAUAUAAAAAUUAGCUUAAUCGCUUGUAAGCGAGAUGUUUGAGGGCAAUGCAUGAACUGAUUCUCAACACGGGCAGCAUAAGAAAUGUCGGUAGGAUCCAUCAGUAACACACCGUCAUGUAAAGAAGGUUGAGACUUAAAACUGUAGAAGAUUCCUAGUGUGAUGUGUUUGAGACAGCAAAAUCCCCGUGCCUCUGGACUGGUCCUCAACGCCAAGGAAGAAAUGCAAUGGAAAAAAAACUUUCAUGGUAAAAGCAAAAAGAAGUUUCCAAAUGAAACUAUGUAACUCUGUGGCACUACUACCUGUUAAAAGAAUAUCAUCAACGUGACGUGGUAGAAUCAAGAUUCUAGAGCUUGAAUUAUGCACAAAUAUGGAGUCAUAUGCCUUGCUGUAAAUAAAAGUGUUCGAGUGCUUAAAGAAGAACUCGCUUUUGACCCAAGAGGGGUCCAUAAACAUGCUAAAAGUAGUGCCCAACACAAUAAUUCGAAUCUGGUUCCAACAAUGCGCAGUAAAUGUCAAAAUUUCAUCCCCAUCAUAUUGUAAUGCCAAGUUGACUUCCAUAAAAUCCCAUAAUUUCAUGGCACACCAAAGUUUCAUUACAACAUGAUUUCAUAGCUCAACAACCUCAAAAGUCAGCCUAGUAACCUAAAACCAGAAUGGAAUUGAAAUUACAGCUUAACCUAGAAAAUUUUCUUCAAUUGGGUUAAUUAAGUCUAUGAAUUCUUCUCAAGCACUUCGCGUACCACAUUAAUCCAAGGCAUUACGAUAUCCAUGAUGAACUCGAACCGAACCCUUUCUCUCUCUAGCGCGCGGUUCACUUCUCUUUUCCAGUUUUCUUGAUUCUUCUUUCUCCCUCUUAACUAUUCCUCUUUUCUCUGAUAAGCCAACUACAACAAUUAUAACUAAGCUGAAGGAAGCUAGUCUGUUGGGCUUCAAAGAUGCAGCCUCAUGGGCGUAAUAAAUGAGAAUUGGUCUCUUGAGCUUGAGUCCCUUUCUUUUUUCUUUUUUUUUUUAAAAAGGGAAGACUCUAUCGUUAUGGAAGCAACUCUUGUUAAAGUCUUAGACACGGGAUGGGGGAAAAUUUUUGAAUGAACCUAGAACAUGUGAGUCCAACUCACACCCACUAUUGAAUGAUGCGAGCUCCACGUUGAACCCAACUUUUCAUGGUGUAUGUGAGAAAUUGUCAAUCCCGGAAUUCAUUAUUUCCAUUAUCAAUUAUCUAUAGAUUAAGUUAGUUAAGUCAUUAGGUAAUUUAAGGUAAUUGGUUGUGAUAGUUAGUCCGGCUAGUAGCACCAACUGCUACUGUGACAAUGGAAUGAGUCAUCCUACAGAGCUGCUGACGACAGCGGCAUGCCAUUGGCCGUUGGAUGGGUGGCGCUCUCUAUGUCGCCCCAUUCUUGAUUUUUUUUUUUUUUCAUUUUCAGUUUUUUGCUUCUUCUUUUUUCUUGUUCGCUUUUCUUUUUGCCUUUUUUCUUUUACAUACUUGAGCUUGUAAACAUAAAGGAAAACCUAGAUAAAAUUCUAAUGGACAAGUACAAUAGCGAUUAAUGUAAUGAAAAACCCCAAUAUGAUUAAACAUGAAAAUAGUACAACGAAAAUUAUAGUAUUAUUAAUUUCACACGUAACACAUGGAAACUUCACUAGCAAUGGAAAAAAAAGACAUUCACAUUGCGAUGAACGAGAGAUGUGAAAAGUGGAGGAACAAAGCCAAUUUGCAUCCUGCAAAGUCUUGAUCUUCUUGGAAAUGAUUUAACUUUUUCUCCCAUUAUCACUUUUUUUUUUUCCGCAAAGUCUAGGUCUUCGUGGAUGAUUAAAGUUUUUCUCCCGUUAUUACUAUUUUCACAAAGUCUUGAUCUUUCUAGAAAUGAUUAAAGUUUUUCUCCCAUUAUCACUUUUAUUUUUUCGUAAAGUCUUGGUCUUCAUGCAAUUGAUUAAGGUUUCUCUCUCUUCGUCAUUUCUUUUCGCAAAGUCUUGGUCUAUUUGGAAUUUAUUAAAAUUUCUCUCCCACGAUCAUCAAUUUUUAUUAAAGUGCUUCACUUUUGCUUCACAUGUAAUGCAUGGAAAUUAUCUAAUUUUGCUUCACCUUUCCCAAAAAAAGGCACAUGAUAACUAGCAAAAUCUUUGGGCAUAUUCUCCAAAUAUUGUGAAACAAGUGGACAAAAAGUAUUUUAUAUCGUUUCUCUAACCUUGCAUGCAUUUUUUAAAGUCCUGGCCUUCCUAUAGUUUGUGGUUUUCUCUUUCCAUUAGCUCAUUAUCACUCAACCCUUGUUUUUCUCUUUAGUGACUAAUUCACCCGUGACCAUUGGAGAGCUCUUUUUGAGUUCCUUCUUGGCUUUCUUCUUGUACUAAUUUCUAGUAUUGUUAAUUUUAAGCAAGGCAUGUAACAUGUGGAAAUUCUACAAGUGGAAAAAGAGACAUUGACAUAGGGAUGGAAGAGGAGGGAUGUGAAAAGUGAAGCGACAAGGACAAUUUCCGUCCUGCAAAGUCUUGGUCUUCCUGACAUUGAUUAAAGUUUCUUUCCCAUUACCACUUUUUCCCUUUGGCUUCACUUUUUACACAAAAAGCUUGAUGAGAUCCAGUAAAGUCUUGGUCUUCCUAAUACGCCAAGAAGCUUGAGCUAGACGGAAGAGCGUAUGUUUUGAUGCUCAUUCUGUCCUCGAGUUAGAUUAUUCUCCUUUUCUUUCUUUUGACCAGAGCUCGUGAUUUUGUUUUCCUUAUCAAACAGACAAACCUAGCAGUCUUUGAUGACUUAUGGAUGCAUAACUGAAAAUAAGAUGUCCUUGUUGGUUGUAUCCUUAAUAAUUUAGGUUUCAAUAACAUCGACAAAGUGGGGAUCCUUUGAUAUGAUUUUGGCCCAUGAUGCACGAGGAGCUCUCGGGGAGGCAUAUGUUGCCACGACAUGGCUAGCUGCAGAGUCCUUGCGACAAGUACCAUGUCAUGAUGGAGUUUGACAUAAUUUCGAGCCUUUGGAUGUAGAUGUCCAGCUUCAAAUUCAUUAUAUUCUCUAAAAUUCAAGUCUCAAAUUGUUUGUGUAGGGGCUUCUGAUGGUGCAUGAUUGUGUCCGGAAUCAUUAUAAUCAACCUAUACACCAAUGCAUAAUACUAAUUUGCUUCAAGUAAUAUUAGAGGAGAGGCAAAAUACUAAUUUGUGUGCUCACUCAGAAUAAAUACGUUGAAUCACUCUCAAAAUUCUAAAAUCAUAGAUAAUCUAGAUCCAUUGUCUAGAAAAUACUCCAUACCAAUUGGUUUGUCCUCCCCGUUGAAAAAUCUUGCUUUAAGAAAGCAAAAUUCAUGCAAGACAUGCUAGACUCCAACUUGAUGUAAUUCGAUGGCUCUCUCUCUCUCUCUCUCUAGUUUGUUAAACCCUUGAGUCAUUCCAUAUCCACAUGCAUCACAUGUUCCACUUGUGCAUAUUUAGAUUCUCGACUUUUAAUAAUUCUUAGAACCUUCAAUAUCUAAAACAUGAUUAAGAAAAGCAUUCAAAAUAGUAUGGACUAAAUUUAUGAUAACAACUAGUGCCAAACACAAUAGUUUGAACAUGGUUCUGAUAGUGCGCAAUAAACUUCAAAAUUUCAUCCCAACCAAACCUUAAUCCUAAGUUGACUUCCAUAAAAUCCCAUAGUUUCAUGAUUCACCAAAGUUUCCUUACUAUAUGAUUUCAUGGCUCAACAACCUUUAUAAUCAACCUAGCUACCUAAAAUAGGAAUGGAAUUGAAAUUACAGCUUAAUCUAGAAAAGUUCUUCAAUGAGGUGAAUUAAGUCUUUGAAUUCUUAUCAAGCACUUCUUGUAUGACAUUAAUCCAACGCAUUAAGAUGUCCCACGCAUUAAGAUGUCCCCAGCAAAUUUGAACCGAACCCUUUCUCUCUCUAGCGCCCGGUUCACUUUCCUUUUCCAGCUUUCUUGAUUCUUCUUUCUCCCUCUUAACUACUCCUCUUUUCUCUAAUUAGCCAACUACAACAAUAAUAACCAUUGAGGUUUGCCUCAGUGGCCACCCUUUCCACAUGAAACGAGGUUGGAGGGUUCGAAUCUCUACCUUUUCAGGGGUUGGAAUAUGGACGAUUUAGUUUCAAAUGUGGGUUUUGACUCCCACGCUCUGCAAAGAGAUAAAACAAAAGUCUGAGAGUAAGGGUUAGAGUAGGAGUAGAGUAGGACUAACAAUAAAAAAAACUACAACAAUUAUAAUUAAGCUGAAGGAAGUUAGUCCGUUGGGCUUCAAAGAUGCAGCUUCAUGGGCGUAAUAAAUAAGAAUUGGGUCUCUUGAGCCUAAGUCCUUUUUAUUUUUAUUUUUUAUUUUAAAAGGAAAGACUCUCGUUGGGGUAGCAACUCUUGUUAACGUCUUAGACACAGGAUGGGGGGGAAUUUUUGAAUGACCCCAGAGAAUGUGAGCCCAACUCACAUCCACCAUUGAAUGAUGUGAGCUCCACGUUGAACUCAACUUUUCACGGUGCAUGUGAGAAACUGUAAAUCCUAGAAUUCAGUCUUUCUAUUGUGAAUAUAUCUAUAGAUUAAGUUAGUUAAGUCAUUAGGUAAUUUAAGGUAAUUGGUUGUGAUGGUUAGUCCGGCUAGUAGUGCCAAUUGCAGCGGUGACGAUGGAAUGAGUUAUCCUAUGGAGGUGCUUACCAUAGCGGCAUGCCAUUGGCUGUUGGAUGGGUGGCGCUCUCUAUGUCGCCCCAUUCCUUAUUUCUUUUCAUUUUCAGUUUUUUGCUUUUUUUUUUUCUUGUUCGCUUUUCUUUUUGCCUUUUUUUCUUUUUUCAAACUUGAACUUGUAAACAUAAAGGAAAGCCUAGAGAUAAUUCUAAUGGACAAGUACAAUAAAGAUUAAUAUAAUGGAAAACCCAAUAUGAUUAAACGUGAGAAUAAUAAAACAAAAUUUGUAGUAUUGUUAAUUUUGCACAUAACAUGUGGAAAUUUCACUAGUAAUGGAAAAAAAAGAAAAAAAGAAAGACAUUCACAUUGCAAUGAAUGAGAGAUGUGAAAAGUGAAGGAACAAAGUCAAUUUGCAUCCUGCAAAGUCUUGGUCUUCUUGGAAAUGAUUUAAGUUUUUCUCCCGUCAUCACUUUUUUCACCUACAAAUAAUUAAGGUUUUUCUCCCAUUAUUACUUUUUCUUUCCGCAAAGUCUUGGUCUUUGUGGAAUUGAUUAAAGUUUCUCCCUCAUUGUCACUUUUUUUUUUUUCGCAAAGUCUUGGUCUAUUUUGAAUUUAUUAAAAUUUCUCUCUAACCAUCACAAAUUUUUAUUAAAGUGCUUCACUUUUGCUUCACAUACAAUGAGUGGAAAUUAUCUAAUUUUGCUUCACCUUUCCUAGCGCAUGAUAUCCAGCAAAAUCUCUAGGAAUAUUCUCUAAAUAUUGCAAAACAAGUACUUGCGGACAUAAAGUAUUUAAAAUCGAUUUCUCUAACCUCUAUGUCCACUUUUGGAAGUCUUGAUCUUCCAGAAGUUUGUUGUUUUUUUUUUUCUCUCCAUUAGCUUAUUAUCACUCAAACCGUGUUUUUCUCUUUGAAGAUUAAUUCACCCAUGACCAUUGGAGAGGUCUUUUUGGGUUCCUUCUUGGUUUCCUUCUUAUACUAAUUUCUAGUAUUGUUAAUUUAAGCAAGACAUGUAGUGUGUGGAAAUUCUACUAGCAAUGGAAAAAGAGACAUUGGCAUAUGGAUGGAAGAGAAGGGAUGUGAAAAGUGAAGCAACAAAGCCAAUUUGUGUCCUGCAAAGUCCUGGUCUUCUUGGCAUUGAUUAAAGUUUCUUUCCCAUUACCACUUUUCCCUUUUGCUUCACUUUUUACACAAAAAAGUUGAUGAGUUCCAAUAAAGUCUUGGUCUUCCUAAUACGCCAAGAGGUUUGAGCUAGACAGAAGAGCGUAUGUUUUGAUGCACAUUCUAUCCUCGAGUUAGAUUGUUCUCCUUUUUUUUCUUUUGACCAAAGCACGUGAUUUUGUUUUCCUUAUCAAACAGACAAACCUAGCGGUUUUUGAUGACUUGUAGAUGAAUAACAGAAGAUAAGAUGCCAUUGUUGGUUGUAUCCUCAAUAAUUUAGGUUUCAAUUACAUCAAAAAAGUGGGGAUCCUUUGAUGCGAUUUUGGCCCCAUGAUGCACAAGGAGUUGUCAGGGAGGCAUAUGUUGGCACGAGAUGGCUAGCCGCAGAGUCCUAGGGACAGUACCAUGUCAUGAUGGAGUUUGACAUAAUUUUGAGCCUUCGGAUGUAGAUGUCCAGCUUCAAAUUCAUUAUAUGGUCUAAAUUCAAGUCUCAAAUUGUUUGUGUACGGGCUUAUGAUAUUGCAUGAUUGUGAAUUCUCCAGAAUCAUUAUAAUAGCCUAUACACCAAUGCAUAAUACUAAUUCACUUCAAGUAAUAUUAGAGGAAAGGCAUAAUAAUAAUUUGUGCGCUCACUCAAAAUAAGUUUGUUGAAUCGCUCUCAAAAUUCUAAAAUCAUAGAUAAUCUAGAUCCCUUGUCUAGAAAAUAUUCCAUACCAAUUAGUUUGUUCUUGAUGGUUUUAUUAGCGAUGGGCUUAAGGCCCGUUCGCCCAAGUUGGGCCCAAAAAGCCCGGCCCACGGGAAUAUGGCCCGUGGAUGGAGGGACGUAUAAAAGGGAGAAGAGAGAGAGAGAAGAAACCUCUUGGACAAUCAGAACGUACGUACGUCUUCCCCUCUCCCGCGCACUCUCUCCCAAAAAGAAGAAACAGUAAGCAUAAGGCACGUUCUUCUUCCCUUCAAGGCGUCAUUGGAUCGAACAGGGCCAGAUUCUCUUCCUCUUAUCGGCGUCGGUGUCUAAUCUGUGGCUAACAAGGUACGCUCGAAUCCGUGGUGUGCUUUACGAUUGGUGAUACGUGAUUUUCCCGGGCUAGUCUUCCGCUUCGCUUUAGGGGUUCGAUUUAGUGUCGAAUCCGGUUUUCGGGGAUCCGUUAUUCCCAACAUUGGUAUCAGAGCUAGGUUCACGUUUUCCCGACUUGUUUGAUGUUUUUUGAUUGAUUUUUCGCGAAAGUAAUUCGGCCGUACGGAUCGGGGCGAGAAAUCCCGACACCCGAGCACUAUUCGUCCUUUUUCUGAGUUUCCGUAAGUCGAAAUAAAUUUCUGAAGGCACUGGGUGAAAGAGGUCGUCGAGGCGAGUCCGGCGACAUGUCGUGCGCCGCCGGGAGACGCCGCACGCGCCCACAUGCGCGGCCAGAAGGUGCUGCGCGUGGGUGCGACGCGCCCGGAAGCGUUGGCUCGCCUAGCGCAUGUGGCACACGCGCCGGUCGGCGAACUGGCACGUGCGCGCCACCGGCCGGUGAACCGGCACGCGCCGGUCGACGGACCAAUGCGUGCUGACGUCAUCGAUGACGUCAGCGCCGACGACGGUUGGCCGGGCAGUCACCGGCCGGCAACCCGACCGGCGACCUGACCUGACCCGAAUCGCGAAUGACUGGCACGUGCGCGGCACGUGCCGGCUGACGUCUGCGUGACAUCAGCUGAUGCACGCGCGCGGCGCGUGCGGUCAGUUCGUCCGACCGGCCGACCGGUUCGACCGGCCCAAUCAGUCCGACCCGCCGCCCGACGACCCGCCGCCGUUGACCGUUGACUGACCGUUGACCGUUGACUGACAACCGUUGACUGGCCGUUGACCAUUGACCCGAAAAAAAAUAAAAAAAUAAAAGGACUUGUUUCUUUUUCAAUUAUGUCUAUGUGGGUUAUAUGUAAUCCAUUGUUUAUUCUGCAUUUGUUGCAUGAAUUAUGGAAAAUUAUGUAUUUUCCCUUAUGUAAAUUAUGGAUUAUAAGUGAUCCAUUUUUAGUUCUACAUUUGUUGCAGGAACUAUGAUGCGUUAUGCAGAGAUACCUGCAAUCCCGAGAACGGUCGAGGGAAAUGCAAGACUUAAAAGGCUGAUGUCAGAUUUAGCUAAUUAUCGGUGGCAUGAUAGUGAUUUAGUAUCACAUGUGGUCAGGGUCAAUCAGAUGAUACAGGAAAUCAUCUGGAAUGGUUAUCUUAUGCCGAAUUUUGAGAAGGUGCCGGCUUUGAUGAACACUCUUCCACCUGAAUGGCAAGCAGUGUUAGAUCGGCUAUGGGAGGUCAACGUGGUCCCGGGUUAUAGGAGGCUAGUGGAAGCUUUUGUAAGAGAGUACUAUAGGAUUGAAUUGGCCAAAACUUCAACCCUUAGAUUGAGCGCCACACGGCGUAGAGUAAAUGCGCCUUGGUGGCGACAUGAAAGCUCUCCAAAAGUUUUUCCAUGGUUGGCAAAUGUGUCUUCAGUUUUCUCAGAUGUUUUGAUUGAUAGAUUAGAAUGAACAUUCCCUAUUUAUUUCUUAGAUUUAUUAUGAGAUGUUUUAUGGGUGUAAAUAUCUCUUUCCAUGUUGAUAUUUUUCUCUGUAUAUAUUGCUUAGUGUAAUGGAUAGUUGUAUUAGAUGAAAACAUUGUUAUUCUAUUGGAUAUUAGAUAUUAUUUGCUUUCUGUUAUAGUUGACUGCUGUGGGUAGUUGAUAGAAGUUUUUGUAACUUCAUCGAAUUUAUUUUGCAUAAGAUAAUUAUAUUAAUAAUAAUUUUGAGUUAGGAUUUUUGGAGGAUGAUUGGAAACAUAGUGACAUUUUGAUUCUAAAACCUUGCUUGAAAUUAUUCAUUGAUAUGAUGGGUCUAUGCAAAGUGGAUGCAUAAAUGAUAGGCAUUAAUUAUUCGUGCAUAUAUAUCUGUUGUGUUCAGAUAGAUGGUUUUAGCAACUAAGAACGUAAUUGCUGAUAUGAACGACAACAAUUGUGAAAUAUUGAAUAUGAAGAUUCAAUAUGUGCUGGAAAAGCAAGAAGCACUAGAAGCUCUUGACCAUAUUAUGGAAGAUCUUGAGGAUGCCGUGCGCCACCUUGAGCUAGUAGAGGACCGCUUAACAUCAUUUGAGUCGAAAAUAGAUAUUUGCAAUGCUGGUUCUAGCUCAGAAAGGGCUUUGAGCUCUAAGCGCAAGCGUAUUGAUUCGUUUAAUAUGUGGGAAUGCAAAAGAUCAAGUCUUUAUUACAAGAAAUCAAUAGUUAACCAACACAAGAGAGGAAAACUUCCUCAAGUGAAGAAAAUGUCAAGGGUGAGGUGUUACAAUUGUGACAAAAUAGGUCACUAUGCUCGCAACUGUUGUGAGCCGAAAAAGGUAAACACCUCUUGUACAUUUGAGAACUUUGCUUAUGUGUCAAGUUCUGCAUUAUUGGCUGAAUCCAAUCCUUUGUGGAUUGUAGAUUCAUGAGCGACAGACCAUGUAACGAAUGAUAGAGGAUCAUUCAUGGAAUUCCGACGAGUACCAACUGGAACUAAGUGGAUCUAUGUGGGAUAUAACUCCAGAGAUGAAGUUAAAGGGAUUGACACCUACCAAUUGAACAUGCGCGGUGGACGCACCUUGUUCCUACAUGAUGUUCCAUAUGCUCUAGAGAUUCGUCGAAAUUUAAUGUCUGUUUUGGUGUUGGUUAAGCUUGGUUUUAGUGUGAACUUCCGUAAUAGAGGUGUAGAUUUGUAUUUGGAUACAAACUAUUAUGGUUGUGGUCACUUUCUAGAUGGUUUCAUUGUACUAUAUGUUGAUUGUAGUGAUGUCAAUAUUUGUUAUUCCCUUGUUUCAUGUCUUCUAUUUCAUAUGAUAAUGAUGUGAUUAUGUGGCAUGAUGGACUUGGUCAUAUUUGCCAACAACGUAUGAAUAGACUAGCCAAAGAGGGCUUGUUAGGCAAUAUUGAAAAAGUCGAUUUGCCUAGAUGUGAGCAUUGCCUAGUAGGGAAAAUGACAAGGAAACCAUUUGAAAAGGUAAAAGAGCUGAAUUUCCUCUGCAUUUAAUCCAUUCUGAUGUCUGUGGUUCAAUGAAUGUGAGAGGAAGGCAUGGGGCUGUUUAUUUCAUCACCUUUAUAGAUGAUUAUACUCGAUUCGGAUAUGUCUAUUUGAUUUCUCAUAAAUUUGAAGCAAUAAGUUGUUUCAAAAGGUUUAUGAACCUGGUAGAAAAUCAAUUAGACAAGAAAAUAAAAGCAUUGAGAUCCGAUCGAGGUCGAGAAUAUUUAUCUGAUGAGUUCAGAAAAUUAUGUGAUGAAAAAGGAAUAGAAAGACUGUUGUCUAUUCCAUAUACUCCUCAACAAAAUGGUGUUACGAAAAGAAGAAAUAGAACCCUACUGGAAAUGGUUAGGUCAAUGAUGGCGCAUGCUAACUUGCCUAUCACUUUUGGAGUAUUGCGUUGUUAAAUGCUGCCUAUAUACUUAACCGGGUGCCUUCCAAAUCAAUUACUUCCACCCCAUAUGAGUUAUGGACAGGUAGAAAAUCGGACUUAAGUUUUCUUAAGCCAUGGGGUUGUGCUACCUAUACUCAUGAGUCCUCUCACAAAUUUGGGAAAUAUGGUCCCAAAGGAAAUAAGAGUAUUUUCAUGAGAUACUCCGAACACUCGAAAUGGUAUAUGUUCAUAGGUGAGCAGGAAAGUGAGAGUAUAACUGAAUUUGAAUCACGGGAUGUCACAUUCUUAGUGGAUGAAUUUCCUAAGAAGGGCGAAAUAGGGGAAGAUUACUCCCUAUUUGUAAUCUUGGAUCAAGAUAAUGAUAUUAGUGUAGUUCGUCCAAGUGGGAGUAAUAUAAGAAGUGAUGAAUUGAAUUCAACUCAUUCUCAAUUACAACCACAUGAUGAGAUGAUAUCGUCAUUAUCUAAUCCAAGUGGGAGCAUAAUGGGGAAUGAUGUGCUAAGUGUACAAUCUCCCAUACGGCGAACAAGUCGCCAAAGUAUUCCCCGUUGACGUUUUGACAUUGAAGGGGAAACUUUUAUGAUUGCUCCACAAGAUAAGGAUGAGCCAAGAAAUAUUAAUGAGGCUCUGAAUUGCCCUAGUAAGGAAAAAUGGAUUUAUGCAAUGAAAGAGGAAAUGGAGUCAAUGAAGUCAAACCAUGUUUAGGAACUGGUUGAUCUUCCAAAAGGACGUAGAGCUAUUGGGAACAAAUGGGUUCUCAAAAUAAAGCGAAAGACUGAUGGCUCGAUAGAAAGGCAUAAGGCUCGCCUUGUGGCGAAUGGGUAUAAUCAACAGGAAGGAAUUGAUUAUGAAGAUACAUUUUCUCCUGUAGUGAGAUUUACCUCGAUUCGCAUUAUUCUGGUAAUAGUGGCUAGUCUGGAUCUUAAGUUAUAUCAAAUGGAUGUAAAGACUGUUUUCCUCAAUGUAGAAUUAGAGGAAGAAGUAUAUAUGGAACAACCUACUGGUUUCAUAGUGAAAUGCCAAGAAGACAAGGUAUGUCGACUUUGGGGGUCGAUAUAUGGCCUUAAGCAGUCGUCAAGACAAUGGUAUAUGCGUUUUCAUAAUGCCAUAAUGGCAUAUGACUUUACAAUGAUAGAUGAUGAUCAUUAUGUAUAUAUCAAAAGAUCCAAUGAUCAAUUUAUGAUCAUAUCAUUAUAUGUUGAUGAUAUACUACAUUUUUGGAGUUAAGAUUUCAAGUUUGUUAAUAAUGUCAAGAGUAUUGCAAAAGGUGAAGUAUUGAGCCAUAGACUGUGUCCAAGGACUCUAUAAGAGAAGGAACAAAUGAAACAUGUUCCUUAUACUAGUGCUGUUGGAAGCUUUAUGUACGUUAUGAUGUGUACAAGACCUGACAUAUGUUUUGCAGUUGGAAUGGUGAGUAGUUACCAAUCCAAUCCAGGUCAAGCACAUUGAAAAGCCGUUAAGAGAAUACUGAGGUAUCUAAAUGGAACUGCUGAUUAUACGAUGAGUCACUAAGGAAAUGAUCUGCGACUCUAAGGCUAUUUUGAUGUUGAUUAUGGAGGAGAUUUAAAUGAAAGGAAAUCUACCUCUGGGUUUGUUUUCUUACCGAAUAAUGGCACCAUAUGUUGGAGCAGUAAGAAACAAACAUGUAUAGCCUUGUCCACGAUGGAAGUUGAGUUCGUGGCAUUAUCAGCAGCAGUAUAAGAAGGUGUUUGGCUUAAGAGAUUUUUUGGAUCAUUUAGGUGUUAUUGGAAGUGCUGCAGAUUCAUUGUUGGUUAACUAUGAUAGCCAAGCAGCAAAAGGGUACACCAAAGAUCCAAAAUAUCAUGGCAAGACCAAACCUAUAGAUACCAAGUAUAACUUUUGUCAAUGAUAUGAUUGCACGAAAAGAUGUGAACUUAGAGUACAUACUAUGCAUAGAAUGGUAGUAGAUCCUAUGAUAAAGCCGAUACCUAGAGAUGUGUUUUGUGACCAUAUGAAGUCUCUAGGAUUGCGUAGAGGCUGAUGUACUAAAUAUUGUAAUUUCCCUAAGUGUUCACAAUUUGAUGAAUUUGUGUUUUCAUCAUUAAUGCCUAUGAAUCUUUGUAUGAUCUUUAUGCAUCUUAAUGCUCAGUGCAUUACUUUAAGUUAAGAGAAGUAUGUCGGAUAGAUAUAAGAUUAGCCCACUCACACGGGUAAUCGCCUCUGUUUACUGUGUGAUAAAUAGAGAUGAUACUGUUUUUAAGCUUAUUAUCUAGGUGAUAAUCGAGAGCUCAAGCUUAAAACACGUAUGUCGCCUUAACUGAGUGUUAAGAUGAGGACAUAAUUCUUACUGUGUCCGAAAGUAAAAUAACCCACAUAUUUUACUUUAUCUGUCUAUAAUGCCAGAUGUGAGUUCUGAUGAAUUUUGUGAAUGAGUAGAUACGUGAACUCAAGUUAGACAUUGGGUAUGUCUGAACUAUCAUCUAUAUGGUAUUGAAAGGUGUAGACAUACGCUCCACGGGAAAUGAGUUAAUACCAUAAUACGUAUUUCAUACUACGUAUGCAUGAGACGACCAAUAAGAGUGGUAAAAAGUUCGAUCUCAACUUUUAUGACGUGUGAGACUCUUGAGGAAAAGAGUUCCUCAAAUUUUAGUCCCCUCAUGACUCUUACUUAUUCUCUAGAUUUCUAUUUAGUAUUUGCUAUCUUAAGAUGUUGCCAAUGGUCAUGAGUUGAUUCGAUCUAAUGGGAUAUUUCUAGAAAAGCAAGCUGAACUGAAAUUGAGAGUUUGAAAGAAAGAGGAAGAUCGAUUUUGGAGAAUCACAUUGUACUUUUGUAUUCACAGGUCGACCAAUUAUGACUGUCUUUGUGAUAAUUAUAAUUGUGAAUAAUAUAUAUAUAUAUAUAUAUAUAUAUAUAUAUAUAUCAUGUUUAAAAGAGAUUAAGAGAGAUAUAAAUGUGAUCGAUCGAUCUAGGGUACUGCAUACUAAAUCUACUCGGAGUGUGACGCCCAUUAUGAGCUGCUAUAUAUUCCUAACAGAUGUAUAGCAACGAGCUCUCAAAGUAUGCUGGUCACACGGAUUAUUCACCGGUAUGAAUGUUGAAGAGAGGUAAAGAGAAUCAUGUUCGGCCCACCAUGUGCGAGUGGGAGAUGAUGGUUUUAUUAGCGAUGGGCUUAAGGCCCGUCCGCCCAAGUUGGGCCCAAAAAGCCCGACCCACGGGAAUAAGGCCCGUGGAUGGAGGGACCUAUAAAAGGGAGGAGAGAGAGAGAGAAGACACCUCUUGAACAAUCAGAACGUACGUACGUCUUCCCCUCUCCCACGCACUCUCUCCCAAAAAGAAGAAACAGUAAGCAUAAGGCACGUUCUUCUUCCCUUCAAGGUGUCAUCGGAUCGAACAGGGCCAGAUUCUCUUCCUCUUAUCGGCGUCGGUGUCUAAUCUGUGACUAACAAGGUACGCUCGAAUCCGUGGUGUGCUUUACGAUCGGUGAUACGUGAUUUUCUCGGGCUAGUCUUCCGCUUCGCUUUAGGGGUUCGAUUUAGUGUCGAAUCCGGUUUUCGGGGAUCCGUUAUUCCCAACAGUUCUCCCCAUUGAAAAACGAAAAACAAAUCUUGCUUUAAAAAAGCAAAAUUCAUGCAAGACAUACUAGACUCCAACUUGACGUAAUUAGAUGGCUCUUUCUCUCUCUAAUUGGUUAAAACCCUCGAGUCGUUCUAUAUCCACAAACAUUACAUGUUCCAUUCAUGCAUAUUUAGAUUCUCGACUUUUGUUAAUUCUUAGAACCUACAAUAUCAAAAACAUUAUUAAGAAAAGUAUUAAAAAAAGUAUGGACUAAUUCUUGAAUGCUCUUCUUUUCGAAUGAAAAAUGGUGAACAUUUUCAUUUUCAGCCUUUAAUUAUUGGCGGAUGAAAUGCAAAUUAGUGGGGCUCAAGCCCUUAAUGAUAUGCUUGAUUGGAUAUGCUGACAAAAAAAGGCUAAGGCAAGUCCCUCCCAGUUCCAUCAUUUUGUUUUAGCAUAUAUGGGACCGAUCUUUGGUCAUUGCUAGUGAACAUGAUCCAAUAAUUGUUUUAGCAUGCACAUAGCCUCCAUGAUUACUCUCAUCCUUGGUACACUGAAGUCAUGGCAAGCAUGGAUAACAAAAACCAUAGAAUAUAUUGAAUCGUGAAAUUUGUUUGGACUCUUGUAAAAUCUCUCUAUGACUCUUUAAGCCGAAUUGACUUGAUUUCUACUCUUUACCUUGUAUAAUGCUGGAAUAAUAAACUUCAAAUAAUUAAAAUAUAUUUGUUUAAUUGAAAACUCAAGAUUAGAAAAUAUUUUUAAAAAACUGAUUGAUUUAUUGCUCACAAAAAUGAACAAAUCAAAAUUUUUCAUCAUUUACCGAAAUGCAAGUAUAAAUUGAUGUUGGCAAUGAAAUGUUAUCCAAAUCUUAAGUUUUUUCACACUCUUAGGGUGCAUUUGGUAAUGCUCUAGGAACACUUAUUUAUGUUUUUUUAUUCCCAAAAAUAGAAAUGGAAUAAAAAUGUGUUUGGUAAGUUUUUUGUUCCCAAAAAUAAAUAUGUUUUGGAAUAGUUUUGAAAUAGAAAUCAGAAUAAAAAAAAAAAAAGUUACUAUUGUUCCGUGAACAAAAAUAAAAAACGGAGUUAAUUCUCAUCCUUUUUAAAACUUCUUGGCAGACGUCUUUUUCUCUCUCACCUCUCUCUCUCGUGAAGUUUGUUUCUCCUCCUGCUCUUCGCAUCGUUCGCCGGAGAAGACAGAGUCGCGACACCUUUCCUCCUCCGUUGUUGCCGCAACUAGUCUUGAGAAACGGUAGGCGUCUCUCUCCUUGGCAAUUCUUGCUCUCUCUUUCUUUGGCGAUUCUCGCUUUGUUUUUCAUUGCUCCCCUUUGCCUUUUUUUAUUGGGGUUUGAUUUGUCGCUCGAUUGAGCGGAGAGGGUUAGUCGUAGAUCGUUUGCGUUUUGCUGUUCGUUCGAUUUCUUCCUGUCGUAGCUCGUCUCGUGUCGUUUUUGGAGGUGCUCUCACUUUCGCCAUUGACGUACGGACCACCGCUCGUGCUCUCGCUUCCCGUUCUUCUUAACAACAAAUCUGCAAUUUGGGUGUUCCCUGCAAUUCUUCUUUCCUCGUGGGUUUCUCCUCCUUUGCGGAAUCGAAGUAGUGGGUAAAAGGAAAAAUGAGAUUUUGGGGUCGAUGGUUCGUGUGUUACACAAGUGUGGUAGAAGCGGUUGCUUGAGAAGAUUACCAGUGUCACAAAGCGGUGGGUUCUCAAAAUAGUGCCGUCAAAUCCUCGAACAUUCUCGAACUCGCUCGAAAUGCUCCCCUUACCUUAUCUAUGCUUUUUAUACCUGUCUGUCCCCAGCAGAGUUUUGGCUGGGCUUUUUCUCGAAUAUACGUUUUCCAGCAUCCAUUCUUGAAUUUUCAUGCCUUUCUAUUCUCUUGUACGAGGUUCUUUGAAUUGAAAGAUUUGAAGCAACGUAUUUUUGUUCACGGUUCUCUGGGUUCUAGCAAUUUCAUGAUAAGCUCUUCAUGUUUUAAUUGUUUUAAAUUUGCUUUGAGAUUUAUUAUGUGAAGAAUAAAAGUUGGGUUUUUUUUUGUUGGUGUUUUGCUUCUUUUUGUUGGGUGGUUGUGUUUCAGAAGCGCACCUGAAGUUCGGAUUUUGGAGUCGAAAGACCAGGAGAUAAAGUAGCAUUUUUUGACUCGAAGCAGGUAUGAUCAUGAAAACUUUCACCCGCAAUCAGACAUGCAAAGUUUUAAUUUUUGGAACUGUGUUGGUGGCUUAUGUGGAAAUGAGCAUGUAUAUGCGUGGAGUGGCCUCUUUUCGCGACCUCUUUUAAUUUCUGUCUGUUUCGCUCGCUCGAGGAGGUCAGGAGGUCGGUGGUUUCUAUACAGUUUUUCCUUGUUAAGGCUCCAUGUGCAUUUAGCCUAAUCUCUGCCGAUUGGCUUUUAGUUCAAAACACUGCAGGAAUUAUCGAUGGCGAUAGUUUUCUAGCAUAUUAGGCCUCAUUCGAGUUUAUGAUUCCAAUUAGCCAAUGACGGCAUUUUUUUUUUUUUAGAUUUAGAAAACACGAGUUUAUGAUUCCAAUUCCACCUUCCUCUUUCAAGAACUUUAUAUAAUCAACUAUAAUUGACAUUUUAUAAAUUAAAUGAAAAAAAAUUGGGAAUAAAAUUUUUUUGGGAACAGAUUUUUAUUCUCGUACCAAACGCGUUUUUGUUUUUUUUUGUUUUUUUGUUCCGGGAAUAUAAAUUUUGUACAGUUACUAAACGUGCUUUUUUGCCCAGAAACUAUUCCCGAGAAUAGAAAUUGAAAAAAUUGUUUCUGAAUAGAAAUUGUUUCCGGAAACAUAAACGCUAUCAAACACACCCUUAAACUACUUUGAUGGAGCAAAACGAGAGAGGAAUUGACUCGGUUCGAUCCAAAAGAGGAACGUAAUGGAAAAUCUGAAAAGGAGCAAAAGUCAAGUACAAAUCCUAGCGUUUGAACCUCCAAAGCCAUUCCUCUGCAAAGAGAGGCGAAACGUGAGCAACAAGCAGGCGGUUACAGCCACACCUGGAAAGGAUCACUCGACAAUUCCACACAUCCAAAAAAUUAAGAAAUCUCGAGUUACCAAAAUAAGUAUAAAUAAAUUAAAAAUAAUCAUUUAAUUGUUAAAACUUGUCGAUAUCUAACUUCUGCCCAAAAGUGGUUUUCAUAUAUUUUUGGAAAACUAGAACAGAUGUUCCUCCCAAAGAAGAAGUUUAUUGGAAUUAAAGCAUUUUAUAAGCAUAUACCAUAAUUUCGACAAAUAGGAUUAGGUUCUUUCGAAUUUAUUCCCCAAAUAAAAAAAAAGAAAAAGAAAAGAAAAGCAAAGAUAAAAUGGGAACCUCCGAGAGAAAAACACACACGGCAGAAUUCAUCUUGGUUCUCCUGCUCCUUUCUUUAAAACCACACCGCCUCACUUUUUUUUCAUCCACCACCACCACCACCACCACCAUCAUCAUCAUCAUUAAACUCACGCCCACAGACUUCACUCUCAUUCAAUUCAUUUCUUGCAUGCAUAUCGAUUGUCGCCAAUCACCACCAUCUCUAGUCGUCGCUCAAUUAAUACCAUCGUUCGUCGUUGCAAGCAGCGACCACGCAUUGCCGUACCUGAAUACGCACGCGUACACAGUGAACUGCCAAACCUAGCGCUCGUGCUUGCUGGAUUGCUGUUGUGGAUCUUAUCCCAUUCGCCUGGUCAGCUCCAGGAAGUCUACUUGGAAUAGGUAAAAGACAUCUAUCUAAUUGCUCUCUUUUUCCCUUGAACUGAUGCAGCAAGUUUAAUAACAAAAUUGGGGAAAGUUGAUGUCAUAUACUUGCUGGCCACAUUAAAGUUGCAGCUUGACUGCAUAAUUCAUGGUGAUUUGUUGAUCUUAAUGUGGCUUUAGUUGUUUUAAUGAGGUGAUACAUAUGCACGCAUAAUUGUUUAAGCCAAAAUUUGGACCUCUAUUUUAUGAUUUUUCAUUACAUAUUAGGAUAGAAUUCAUUAUAUCUGUAUCAGGACAAUUAUAUUAGAAAACUUAAAAUUUUCAUUGACAAGCAUUAUCAUGCACAUCUAGGCUUUUUGGAGUGCAUUAUUAAUAAUUCUCUUCUUGCACGUUUCCUUUCAUAAAUCACAUGCUAUAAUUUGGGAAAUCUAGGAAAGUCAUAUCUUGCUUAUUAAUAAAUUUAGAUUGCAUCUUCAUUAAAAAAAAAAAAAAAAAACCGAAACAAAAAUGUGAAGUGGAACUCCCCACGAGUCAUGACGAGUAUUAUCGCCCCAUUCCUGCAUUUUUUUUUUCUUUAUCAGUUUUUUGCUGUUUUUCGUAUUUAGUUUUUCUUUUUGCUCUUUUUCCAUUUAUUAAACUUAUAUUCUGAAAAGAUAAAUGGAAAUCUAGACACAAAGUACAAUAGAGAUUAUGAAUGACUAAUGACAAUGUGAUUAAAAAUGACAAAAGUUGGACUAAAAUUAUAGUUUGUUAAUUUGAGCAAGAGAAACAAUAAUCAGUGCCAAUUGUCAAUCACACAAAAAUAGAAAAAAUCGGCACCCACGUAAUGCGUGGAAAGUCUACUAGUAAUGUAAAAGAGACAUUCGCAUGGGAACGGAAGAGGAGAGAUUUGAAAAGUGAAGCGAUAAAUCCAAUUUGCAUCUCCGUAAGUCUUGGUCUUUCUGGAUUUUAUUAAAUUUUCUUUCCAAUCAGCUCUAUACCAAUUUUGCUUCACUUUUACGACAAAAAAGUUCAUGAUACCCACUGAAGUUAUGGUCUUCUCGAGUUUAUGAUUUACUUACACGAACGAGUAUAUGAUCGUGGAAACUACAAAUGUGCGGGGAUAAUCUCUAAAUAUUACAGAACAACCACUUGUGAAAGAAAAAGUUGAAGCAAGAUGGGCGAAAAUAUCUGCUGAAAGGUGAUGAGUUAGUAACCGAUGAUGGGGAAUCGCCUAGAAAGAGAAUCAUGGUCCUUUGAACUCAAUUUUCCUGUUCAUUGGUGUGAUGAAUAAAGUAUAAUUUUUUAGUAGAUUAUACAUUGUCAUUUGGUGAUUUGUGACUUGUUCACUAUUUGCAUAGUAAAAUAAAGCAAGUUGCUUAAUGAAUUAGUAGGUGUGCUUGACCCUUUUUCUUAUUAAUCCCAAAGCACGUGUUUCCAUUCUUCUUGAUGGACAGACAAAGUUAAUUGUCUUUGAUGACAUAUGUAUAACAGAAAAUAAGAUGCAAUUAUUGGUUGAAUCCUCAAUAUGUUAUGUUUCAAAAGCAAUUAUUUUACUAAGUUGCACAAGUAUGUUUAUUUGCCAAUCGUAUUAAUUUGAUCAACUUCAUUCAUCGCUAAACAAGAAAAAAAGGAUAAGCACACCGACUAAUCCAUCAAGGAAGUUGCUUUCUCUCUCUCUGGAAAUGGUAAAUGAGUCCAGUAUUAACAAUAUAUAAUCUACUAGAUGUCACACUCUACGAACUUGAUAAUUGUGUUCCUAUCAAGGUGAUUCUCGAUUAUCGACCACUACCUUAGCACCCUUCAACAAAUCAUUGUCACCCAUCUUGAUGUGAAUCUUUAGCAUAGUAACUGCCAUGUAAAAGAAUUCAUCAAUCUCACAUUCACCAAUAAAGCAAACAAAGACAUUGAAAUCAUAAGGUUAAUAAGAAUAUACAGAUGCUAAAAAAGCCAACAAAACACUCGUGAGGGAUAACACUUAUAAUGAAAAUAUGCAAACACUCUAAGUUGGUCAUAUUAAGACGCUGUUUUGGAUGGCCAAAAGUAAAGGUCCGACAGUAAAAAAGUCUUGAUCUGAAGAAUGAGGAGAGCAAUUGACGUGACAAACACUUGUGGACAAAUAGUAUUUUAUUUUAUUUUUAUUUGUCUAACCUUUGAUGUGCAUCCCUUGAAAGUCUGGGUCUUUUUUUAAAUAUUUUUCCUAGGUCAUCGUCUUGGUCUUCCUAGACUUCAUAGUUUUUUCUCUCCAUUAGCUCAUUUUCACUUUGUUUCACCAUAACACCUUUAUUGUUCUUUACAGUAACUGAUUCACCUAUGGCCAUUGGAGAGAUCGUUUUGGGUUCCUUUUUGGCUUCGUUCUUUCAGGUCCUAUUCGACAAGUUGACUUUGUCCGCAUUAAGUUGUGCACAACAAGAUGGAAUCAACACCGUCUCGAUUGAGGAGUGGAAGGAUAUGCUGGUAACAAUCAAUGCAGUGUUGGCUGAUGCAGAGGACAAGCAACUUAGUGGUAACCAUCAAGUGAAGCUAUGGCUGGACAGGGUAAAGGACUUGGCCUAUGACAUGGAAGACUUGCUCGAUGAGUUUGCGAUAAAAGCUGCUCAUAUUGAGUUACAGGUAGAAUCUAGCACAAGUAGAAGUCUGCAAAAAUUGAAGUCCCUUUUCUUUGGCCAACCACACUCGCUUGUGUCUAAAACCAAGAUACAAGAGAUCAAUCGCAGGUUGGUAACGAUUGUCACUGGAAAGGCUAAUCUAAGCUUGAGAGAGAAUGUUAUGGACAUAUCCAACUUCACCAGUAAAAGGGAUCCAACCACUUCUCUACCCGAGUCACAGUUUUUUGGUAGGGAGGAGGAAGAAGCACAAAUACUUGAACUAUUGAUAAAUGAUGUGCGAAAUUCCAAUGACAUGCUGAGAAUAAUCCUCAUAGUUGGGAUGGGCGGUAUUGGAAAGACGGCCUUGGCUCAGCGGCUGUAUAAUGAUGCCAGAGUGAAUAGAUGUUUCGAUAGGAAAGCAUGGGUUUGUGUUUCGGAUGUUUUUGAUGUUUUCGACAUAACCAAGAAUAUUUUCCACUCGAUCACCGGGUUGUCAUGCCAGGACAAAGAUCUUAACGGGCUUCAAGUUAAGUUGAGGGACAAUCUAUCUGGGAAAAAGUUUCUUGUGGUUUUAGAUGAUAUCUGGAAUGACAAAUACGAAAGGUGGACUGCCAUCUUGAAGCCAUUUGAAGCGGGGGCUAGGGGAAGCAAGAUCAUUAUCACGACUCGCAACGGUGCUGUUGCUUCCAUAACAAAAACGUUGCCGUACUGUUUGAAGGGAUUGUCCCUUGAAAAUUGCACAAACGUAUUAGCCUUUCAUGCUCUUGGAGAAAUAAACUUUGAGAGCCACCCGAAAUUUGAAAAAAUAUGCAAGAAAAUAGCUAAAAGAUGUAAAGGUUUACCUUUGGCAGCGAAGAUGUUGGGCGGUGCCCUACGUAGUAUAACGAAUCCCGAUGAAUGGGAAGAUACCUUAAACAACAUAAUAAGGGAUCUUGCAAUGGGGGAGAAUGAUGAGGUUCUCCCUAUUUUGAAAUUAAGCUAUGUCCAUCUUCCUUCCCAUUUGAAGAGAUGUUUUUCUUAUUGUGCAAUAUUUCCUAAGGAUUAUGAAUUUGAGAGGGAUGAGCUCGUAAUCCUAUGGAUAGUAGAGGGAUUUUUAGAUGGACAAAAGAAAACUAAAAAUAAGUUGAAAUUAGGAUGGAGUUACUUCAAUGAGUUAGUAUCUAGAUCAUUUCUUCAACAAUCAAGUGUUGACACAUCUAAGUUUUCAAUGCAUGAUCUUUUGAAUGAUCUAGCAAAGUCAAUUGAGGGUGCAAUAUGCUUUAGCUCUGGGGAGUCUUAGGUGGUAGUUAAUGAAGAUCACGCAUCUCUUGGGAGAGCUCUGUUCUUCAAUAGUGGAACAGUUGCAUGCCACAAGAGCGACUGCAAAAGAGAGGCAAAAGAAUUUGGAGAAGAGUAUUAGGGAAGAGGCUCGUCGUUUGAAGGAUGAGAGUGCUGGAGAUGAAGAUACAGGUCGGAGAGGUGUGGUUGAUAGGUAUGCGGAAGGUAGUUGGUUAAAGGGACAGCGUCAGUUGCUCGAUCUUGAGAGCCUCGCUUUUGAGCAAGGUGGCCUUUUAAUGGCAAAUAGAAGGACUGAUCUUCCUGUUGGCUCCUUCAAGCAUCUCAGCAAAGGAUAUGAGGAAGUUCAUGUGCCAGUUUUGAAAACUAAACCAGAUCCCACUGAGAAGCUUGUCAAAAUAUCUUCCUUGCCCGAUUGGGCACAACCUGCUUUCAAAGGGAUGCAACAGCUGAACCGUGUUCAAAGCAAAGUCUAUGAGACUGCUCUUUUUAGUGCAGAGAACAUCCUCUUAUGUGCUCCUACUGGAGCUGGGAAAACUAAUGUAGCCGUGCUGACCAUGCUUCAGCAAAUUGCUUUGAACAGGGAUCCAGAUGGAUCAUUUAACCACAGCAACUACAAGAUUGUAUAUGUGGCACCUAUGAAGGCACUUGUUGCUGAAAUUGUUGGUAAUCUGUCCAACCGUUUACAAGAGUAUGAUGUCAAGGUGAGGGAGUUGAGUGGUGACCAGUCAUUGACCCGUCAGCAAAUCGAAGAGACUCAAAUCAUCGUCACAACCCCUGAGAAGUGGGAUAUUAUUACCCGAAAAUCAGGAGAUCGUACCUACACGCAGCUUGUGAAGCUUCUGAUCAUUGAUGAGAUUCAUCUCCUCCAUGAUAAUAGAGGACCUGUACUCGAAAGCAUUGUUGCUAGAACUGUUAGACAAAUUGAAACCACGAAAGAGCACAUUCGAUUGGUGGGAUUGUCAGCUACAUUGCCCAAUUAUGAGGAUGUUGCGUUGUUCUUGCACGUAGAUGUUAACAAGGGACUAUUUUAUUUUGAUAAUAGUUACAGACCUGUCCCUCUUUCGCAGCAGUAUAUUGGAAUAACAGUCAGAAAGCCACUGCAGAGGUUUCAGUUGAUGAAUGAUGUGUGCUACGAAAAGGUAGUAGCUGCAGCAGGAAAGCAUCAAGUUCUUAUUUUUGUCCACUCUAGGAAGGAAACAGCCAAAACCGCUCGAGCUAUAAGAGAUUCUGCCCUCGCUAACGAUACACUUCUAUCAGAAGGCUACCUGAGUCAAUUGGUGACUUGUGCAAAUUACAAGCUUUGAUCUUAAGAGGUUGCCAUCAGCUUUCAAAGUUGCCUCACGGUAUCACAAAGUUGGUCAGCUUACAGUUUCUUGAUGUUAGAGAUACAGAAAGUCUAAAAGAGAUGCCAUUGGGUAUCAAUAACUUGAAGAAUCUUACUAUCUUGUCCAAGUUUGUGGUAGGAACAGAGAAAGGGCUACAGUUAAAGGAGUUAAAGAACUUGUCGCAUCUUCAAGGAGAAUUAUUCAUAUUGAAAUUACAAAAGGUGGAAGAUGUUAGAGAUGGUGUUGAUGCUAAUUUGUUUGGAAAGCAAGGCCUAAGAAAAUUAUUCUUGCAUUGGGAUAAAGAUUUUGGAAUUCUUCGGAAUGAUAAGCGCGAAUCACGGGUGCUCGAGUCUUUGCAACCUCCCAUUGAUAUUGAAAAUCUCACUAUUUUGAACUAUGGUGGUGCAAUAUUCUCGUCAUGGUUAGAUGGUUCAUCAUAUUCUCGGAUAGUGUCUUUGAGCUUGUGGAACUGUCCUUAUGUCACAUCAUUGCCUUCGUUUGGACAACUACCUUCAUUGAGAGAAUUAUCUCUUAAAGGUCUAAAUGCAGUAAGAAUAAUAGGCUCUAUUUUUUUAUGGAGGUGAUAGGCCUUUUUCUUCCUUAAUUACUUUGUAGUUCGAAGAGAUGUUGGCAUGGAAGGAUUGGUCUCCUUAUGCAGGGGGCCAAAAGAAGAAGUCCCAUUCUCUUGUCUUGAGCAUCUUAUUGUCCGGAGCUGUCCUUCGUUGGUCAAGACAUUGCCUUGUCAACUUGAUCGUCUUAUAAAGCUUGAAAUUCAUUCAUGCCAACAAUUGAAUAACUCAACCAGUGAGUUAUGUCUUCCAUCUCUCGAUGAGUUAUACCUUGAGGAUUGUAGUAAGGAGAUCUUAAAGAGCUUGUUCAAGCUAACUUCUUUGACAAUUCUCAAAAUUAACAAACUCAUAGAGCUUGUUUCCUUUGAUCAUCGAUUUAUGAGUUGCUUGGGCAAGCUAAGGAAGCUUCAUAUAGGAUUGUGUGACAAGCUAACAUGCUUGUGGCAAGAUGGAAAUGAAACGCAAAAUCUCACUUGCCUCCAGGAAUUAACCAUUAAAAGCUGUGCUCGAUUCACAUCUUUUGUGGCAGGAGACAGAGAGAUAGAGCUACCAUGUAAAUCUUGAAAGGAUGGAAUUGGUGGAUUGCACAAGUUUAGAAAAGCUUCCGAGCAAAAUGCACGCACUUAGACAUUUGGUGAUUGAGAAUUGUCCAAAAAUCAUGGCUCUAAACAUUCCUCAAGGUGACCCUUGUAGCAAUAAUUCGAUUUCUCAACUUGAAUCUUUUAAGAUACGUCACUAUUAUGCUUCUCCGAUAUCCUUUUCAUUUGCCAAGGGUAGACUUGCUGCUCUGAAGGCACUUCAUAUAGACAAUUGUAAGGGAGUGGAGUCGUUGGAAGGGAUUGUCGUAGAAUCGCUUGAAAUAAUGACAAUUAACGAUUGUCAAAUUAUGGGAAGCUUACCACAGUGCCUUCACAUGCUCUCCCAUCUCACUCGAUUGCAUAUUUAUAAUUGUCCAGCAUUGGAGAUAGAGGACUUCCCUCCCCUUCCCUUAACCCUCUCGAGUCUUGUUCUUAAUCAUUGUUCUAAGAUAAAGUCUAUUGCCAACUGUAACAUUGCCAACUGUAACAAUCUCACUAAAUUGGAAAUAUGGGAGUGUCCGAUAUUGGAGAUAGAGGACUUCCCACCCCUUCCCAUCACCUUGUAGAGGCUUAAACUUUGGGAUUGUCCGAUGAUAAAGUCCCUGCCAAAUAAGUGGCAUCAUCUUACAUCCCUCCAAGAGCCAUUUAUUCUCGUUUUCCAAAAUAUCAAAUGCUUACCCAAAGGAGGUUUGCCUCCCAAAUUGCGAAAGCUUGUUAUUUCGGGGCUCGUGGAUCUGAAGCAACCAGUGAGAGAGUGGGGCUUACACCUGCUCACAUCUCUCGAGAGUCUGAUCGUUGAGUUUAACAUGGGAGGGGAGGGAGAGAAGGAGUGGUUUCCUUCGGAGGAUGAGGAUGCUUGGAGUCUCUUUCCUUUCUCUCUAACCUAUCUUUCGAUAUAUGAUUUGAGAAAAGCGAAAAGACUAUCGAGCGGUCUUCGCAACCAUCUCUCCUCUCUCAAGUAUUUAACGAUUGCAAAGUGCCCCAAGUUGAGGUACUUGCCAGAGGAUGGCUUCCCUCCCUCCCUCCAACAAUUGCGCAUAUAUCGAUGCAAGAUUUUGAAAGAGCGAUGUGCAAAACUCACUGGCAACUUUUGGCCCCUCAUCGAAGAGAUCCCUAAUAUCGAGAUUGAUGACUAGCCGAUCUACACUAUAGUCAGUUUUCUUAGGGAUCAGGUAAGUUAUUUUUGGUUUUGAAGGCAUCCUUUUCCAUUCUACUUUCUCAAUUCGAUGCUCAGUACGAACUAAUGUUUGGGUGGGGGAUCUCGUUGGGUUGGAUUAGCUCUGUUUCGUUGGACAAUGAACUGUAGGAUGAAAUGCUCGCAAUGCUGCCUCUUGCUAUGUUGAUGACAUAUCCUUAUUUCUAAUUGAUGCCCAAACCAUUGGUGAAUGAAAUCGCACCAUCACGAAGAAUCAUAGCAUUCCACAAUCAUAGUCCUCUGCAUUUUCAGCGUCUAUUGUCUAUUCUCUUCCCAACAUCUUUUUUACUAACUAUAAUGUAGGCCUUGCAUAGCUUGGUCAAAGAUUAUAUUUCAUCCUUCUUUUAUUCAAAUACAUGAGAAUCAUGAAGAUUCAAUGGUGUUCCACAAUCAUAUUCCUCUGCAUUUUCAGCAUCUGUUGUGUGCUAUCUUCCCAACAUCUUUUUCUCGUGCCCUAGUUCAUCCACUUUGAUUGUUUUGCAAGAUGCCAUUGUCAUAUGUAUUGGCAAAAUUUCCUGGAAGGAUCACUUGUGAAAAUUAUUGAGGUAGGGUUGUGUUGUCAAUGUUAUGUGUCAUUUUUAACAAUUUACAAGAAAGGAAGAAGCAGUUAAAUUUAUUUGGUGCACUGAUAUGCUAUAAAUUUUCUUCUUGUGAUUAUUAUCCAAAUAAGAAUUAUCUCUCUCAAAAUCUAAAAAUCAAAUUAGUCAUGUGGAAGCUGUGAUAUGAUUGUGAAGAAAAGGGAUGCAAUUUUUAUUUUUUUUUAAUUAUGGUUUUCUUUAGAAUUGAGAACCUUCUUUUUGUUGAUGAUGAUCCUUCAUAGUAUUAAGCAGUCUAUUUAGGGUGCUCAUGGCUCUAAGCUUUCAAUGCAACACAAAUUCAUGAUAGGAUCGAUAUUCAUAAACCACCUUAUUUUUAGGUCUUGAUCUCUAUUGAGUUAGGAACUAUUACCUACAACUUGCUAGAAAUUUUUAGCCAAUAUACUCAUGCUUAUUUGGUUGAGACGGUAACGAUAUCCUACCUGCGUCUAGGUUUGCAUUGUCAGUAAUGACCUCUGGGGCAAAUCUUGUCAGUUCUUUAAAUUCGUCAUACACCAUGUCGUUGUAUCUAAAAUUACCUUCUUAUGUGGCAUUCUUCCUGAGCUCACCUGGGUUCCUUGGUCUAACUGGAAAUCCUGCACUUCAUCAAUGUAUACCUUGUCUAGAUCAUCUUCUCUCUCUUUGCUACUGUUGCGCAUGUUAAAAAAAAAAAAAAAAUCAUGCAAUUUUUUUGUGAUAUCGUGAAGCUGUAUUGGAGGUUAGUUGAUAUGUAAUCUCAAUUGUGGUUCAUUGUGUACUUUCUCUGAGGCUUUUUGGAUGUUAUUGCACAUAUAACAUGGUGCUUUGACCAUGUACAUAGGUGGUUAGAUAAGCAGAGUUGCAUCUGCCAAGAUAACUUUCAAGAAACCUCACAUAGUUCUGCUUGACAAGCCAUCCAAUCAUUUAAUUGGUUUACUCAUUUUUCUUUUUCAGUUAGCUUGUUAUUGUUCUUGCACCAUUUGAACUUAUUGGAAUAUGGUCUUUACAUUGAAAAUACAGUAAAACCAAUCAAUGAUCACAGCUACAGGGAGCAUUUGUCAUUGUACAUCUAACUUACAAUGGAAUAGAGAGCAAUCUAGUUUUUCCAACUUGCAAAAUGUUGGGAAUAGAAUGGUUCUGCUAGCCUGAUCAGUGUGUUUGUAUUACAGUAAUCUAUGAUACUACCAAGUAGUUCCUAUGUUUGUGCUUCGAGGUAGUGUUGGGCUUUGCACAUAAUGAAUGUGGACCCUUUUCUUGCUUAUAAAUGUUCCCUCUUAGUUUUGCUUUAAUGAGUAGUGACUACUCAAGUGUCAUCUUUGUAAAUCGUUAGUUUCUUGUCUAGAAAUAGAUAUGAUCCUGCCUUUUCCACUAUACCCAAUUGUAGGAUUUGGAUGAGGCACUCAUUCAAGGUCUGGUCUUGUUUCUUGGAUGGAUCAUUUCGCAGCUGACAGCCCUCUUUUCGCCUUGAUUUGCAGGUUAGUCUCGAUGAGCAUCUAAUAUCUAGAAGCGUAGACAAGCUAUUGGUGGUUUCUCAAGGCAAGGUGGCGGCUUUCCAUGGGAAUUUCCAGGAAUAUAAGAGUUUGGAUGUCCUGAGGGUAUCUCUGGGGUUAUUGCCUUCAUCAUCUGCACUAACGGUGGAGGACAAACAUCCCAAAAUGAAGUAGAAAUUGGUUGAGCUCGCCCAAUCUCUGAAUGCAGCAUGUGUGGAAUAACGAAUUUAUCAAGUCGAUGCAUCUUCUAUAACCUUAACGUCCGGCUAGGAAAGAGAGAAUCUCCCGGACAACAAAUUCCUUCCAAAGAGCCACCAAUUCCACCGGUUCCCCACAAAAGUAACACUCGAGGAUACAAUCGUGAAAGAGGGAAAAACCCUAGCCUAAGCUCGUCGGAUGCAGGCGACGAACUAGAGCCGCCGGUAGAGCUUCCGGAGGUGACGGCGGAGGCGGAGGCAGAGGCAGCGACGUGGUCGGGAGUGACGAGGAAGACACCUUCGCUGUAAUGGGAGCGAAGCGCGCGCACGGAAGGUUCAAGCUCGAGCUCGCUGGGCCCAGAUGGCAUAUCGGAGCCGCUGAUGGGCUCCGGAAUGCGACGAGCGGAGGCGGGGGCGGAGGCGGCGGCGCAGUUCGUCCGAGGAAUAGAGAGGAGCCUGGGAUUGAGAGGGAAGAGAGCGAGGGAGAGGAGAGAGAGGGAAUUUCAAAAUAUCUUUUAGGUGGGAUCCUACUGUACAGGUGGUGAGACUUGAGAGAGAGAAGGAACACUUUUUAUAUGCCGGCAAUAAAAAAGAUCUCAAAUUCCGCUCAAGCUACUCAUAUUCCCUAAGUCACUAUUUCAAAACCUACAAAGUAAUUUAAUGCGUGUCUUGAUAAAUAAAUAAAUAAGCAAAAGACAUAGUAACUUAGUAUGAAUUGGAGCAAAUGAUCGGUAACCUCACAUGUGGAUUACAGUUAGCUUUACCGGUUCUUUGUAUUUGCCUCUGUUGGCACAUGAAUUUUCUCGAAAAAAUCAAGUAUUGCAUUUUUUAAAAUAGAUAAACAAUAGUAAUAAGAACAAAAAAUAGAUAAACAAAUUAACAAAUAACAAAAGAAGAAGAAGACGCGGAAGGAGGAGGAGGAGGAGAAAAAAAUAAUAAAGCCUCGGCCCUAUUCAGUCCAGUCCAGUCCAGUCCACAAAGCCCAUUCAAAUCCACGGCCUCAAUCCAUCAGCCCAUUCGUUGAUUGAAAACGGUCCUGAACUGAUUUUGUACGACUUUGGUCUCAAAUCCGAGUUCAGCGAUGCCUCCUUUAAAUCCUCACUCGAUGCACGUAAACUGUUCGAUGAAAUGUCGCUGAGAUAGGGUUGUGUAAUGGUUCUUCCAUAAUUGUCUAAUCUUAAGGCAAAUUGACAUAGUUUACAUGAUAUUUUUUGUUUUUUCUUUUAGCUGUUAGGCAUGAUUUGUUAGACACGUAACCUGCAUUUCAUUUGUUCUGCGUUUCGCAUGUUCGUUUGGCUACAUUGCUUCGGCUAGUCGUUGCAUUAGAUUAAUGCCAAAAAAUUAUGUCGGCGUCAUUAUUCACUAGGCGACAUGGAGACCAUACCCAUCCGAUCGAUCCAUCCUCCAAACGGAAUUCCUUUCGCCAACAGAUAAUAUUUGGUUUUCCAUCUAAUCGUGUUCCAUGGCAAUUCGAACAGGAAGUGGCACGCGUAACCAAAAACUAGAAUUAAUUACUCUAGAACAAAGUUAAAAUGCAGGAAGUAGAAAAUUAAGUCAAUAAAUUGAAAGAUACAUAAUUUGAAUUGAUGAUCUUGUAUCCCUUGCACAAAUAAUCCAACAUGGCUUAUAUAACCCUAUCGCUAGACGUAACCGCUCCUAAGUGGUCAGUAUUCAAAUUAAAGGUUACAAACUGCAACUCCAUGAUCUUAGGCUCUAUGAACAAAUUCCAUGAUUGCACAUUAACUUUAUCCAUAUGCGGCAGUGAAAUCAAAUAACACAUUUCCACAAUGUUGGCGUACAAAACUUGAUUCGGUUUUCAAAUAACAUGUUGUGAAAUCUUCACUUUUGUGGUCUUGGGUUCAAAUCUUAUUGGAAGCGCUCCAGAAGUAAAAUUCUGAGUGCAGUAGGCUGAUGUCUGCAAGUACCUCCUUACAUAUCACUUGGAGUGGUGGAUCAAUCUAAAUGCACAAAAACUGGCCAGGACACUAUUUUAACACUAAAACCGAAAAAGAAAUGAAAGGAAGAAGCUUCAACUACAUUUUUGGUCUCUCUCUCUCUCUCUCUCUCUCUCUCUCUCUCUCUCUCUCUCUCUCUAUACCGGCGGUGGCAACAAUGUGAAGAAAAACGAAAGAUGGUAACAAAAACUGAUUAGGAAAAGUUUAGAAAAUUGUCAAAAAAAUUUACAAAGAUUGGAGUAAGUUAUCAUAUGGAUUUGUAAGUGGGUUUCAAGUGCCAAGCCUUUCUGUAAACAGAGCACCAGGGCCACAGGCCCAAUCAAAUGAGACCAAGAGCACUUUGCCUAAGUCCAUGAAUCAAACGGAACCAUAUAGCAUCGGCAAAACAGGAAAAUCAAACAAUAAAAAAAAAUUAUAAUAAAUUUAAAAAAAUGACGACGAUGAUGAUGAAAAUUCUAACUUGCUUUUACGUUAUUAUUACUUUAAUUUGUUUACGUUCUUGUGUUUAAUAUCAUUAUUGAAACCGUAGGCAAUUAUCCUUUGCCAAAAUUAGACUUUGACUUGAUUUUGAAAAUUAGCUCACUGGUCGAUGUCCCCAAACGUAAUAAUAAAGCAAUGUAUACUUUGCUCGUCUCGUUUCGGAUUUACUUUCCACACUUUAUUUUUACUCGUCCUUUAGUAUCAUUUUGAUGUGUCAUGCUGUUUUCAUUAUAUUGAUUUCGUGAUGUAAUUUCUUUAGAUUCAUUCAAUGAGUAUAUUACACUUUAGAGUCAAUCUUGAUCAAACAAGCAUGCAUGGACACGUUGUGGAGAAUACUACUACGUGUAAUCAUAUCUUUGAAUUCUCUAGCUUAUAUAAAGUAACGUGUUUUCCCGUUAGCUCCUAACUGGUUCCAAUAGGCUAGUAAUGAGUAUAUUUCUCAAUGUUAUGUGCGGUUAGGAUUUCAAAGAGCUCACACCGAAGGAGAGGGAUCACACGUUCCCGUUCAAUAAGCUAUUAAACCCACUCAUCCCGCUCGGGAGCAUCGCAAUAGCCUCUGACUGCCUUUGCACUUACUAUCGGCAUUUCAAUUUUUACCAAAAUAUUACGAAGGCAAUUUAAAUUCAGCAUCUUAUCAACUCGAUUGAAUCUGUCUCAGUAUUGUGUUGAUCUUGAAUCACUUGAGUCAGUUAGAAUGUUCUGCCCUCUCGGAACCAGAUCGUCUUCUCUGCCUGCUGCUCCUCUCUGCAACUUUGACCUUCAUGGUCGUAUCUGUUUGGGAAUGACUGAUCCCCGAAAACCGGAUUCGACACCGAAUCGAAUCCCUAAAUCAAUGCGGAAGACGAAGCCCGGGAAAAACACGUAUCACCGAUCGUAAAGCACACCGCGGAGUCGAGCGUACCUUGUUAGCCACAGAUUAAACACCGUCGUCAAUGGAGGAAGAGAGUCCAGUCGAUGAAGCCUUGAAGGGAAGAAAUUGGAAGCCGUAUGCCUUACUGUUCUUCGGGAGAGAAAACGCGCGGGAGAGAAGCGUACGUUGAUUGUGCCAAAGGGUGCUUCUCUCUCUCUCUCUCCUCCCUUUUAUACCUUCCCCCAUCCACGGGCCCUAUUCCCGUGGGCCGGGCUUUUUGGGCCCAACUUGGGCGGACGGGCCAACUCAGGCCCAUCUCAUAAAUCCAUCAUCUCCCACUCGCACAUGGUGGUACAAAACCAACAUGGGCGGACAGGCCCUACUCAGCCUCAUCAAAGAAAAAUCCAUCAUAGACUUUCUCUUAACACGGUGGGCCGAACAGAAUUCUCUUUUACUCUCUUCAACAUUCAUACCAGUGAAUAAUCCGUGCGACCAGCAUACUUUGAGAGCUCGUUACUAUACAUAUGUUAGGAAUAUAUAGCAGCUCAUAAUGAGCGUCACACUCCGAGUAGAUUUAGUAUGCAGUACCCUAGAUCGAUCGAUCACAUUUAUAUCUCUCUUGAUCUCUUUCAAACAAUGAUAUAUUGUAUUCACAAUUAUGAUUAUCACAAAAACAGUCAUAAUUGGUUAACCGGUGAAUACAAAACUACAAUUUGAUUCUCCAAAAUCAAUCUUCCUCUUCCCUUCAAACUCUCAAUUUCAGUUCGGCUUGCUUUUCUAGAAAUGCCCCAUUAGAUCGCAUCAAACUCAUGACCAUUGGCAACAUCCUAAGAUAGCAAACACUAAAUAGAAAUCUUAAGAAUAAGUAAGAGUCAUGAGAGGACUAAAAAAUUGAGGAACUCUUUUCCUCAAGAGUCUCACACGACAUAAAAAAAAGUUGAGAUCAAACUUUUGCCACUCUUAUUGGUCGUCUCAUGCAUACGUAGUAUGAAAUACGUAUUACGGUAUUAACUCCUUUCCCAUGGAGCGUAUGUCUACACCUUUCAAUACCGUACAGAUGAUAGUUCAGACAUACCCAAUGUCUAACUUGAGUUCACGUAUCUACUCAUUUACAAAAUUCAUCAGAACUCACAUCUGGCAUCAUAGACAGAUAAAGUAAAAUAUGUGGGGUAUUUUACUCUCGGACAUAGUAAGUAUUAUGUCCUCAUCUUAACACCCAGUUAAGGCGACAUACGUGUUUUAAGCUUGAGCUCUCGAUUAUCACCUAGAUAAUAAGCUUAAAAACAGUCUCAUCUCUAUUUAUCACAUAGCAAAUAGAGGCGAUUACUCGUGUGAGUGGGCUAAUCUUUUAUCUGUCCGACAUACUUCUUAACUUAAAAAUAAUACACUGAGCAUUAAGAUGCAUAAAGAUCACACAUAGAUUCAUAGACAUUAAUGAUGAAAACACAAAUUCAUCAAAUGUGAACAUUUAGGGAAAUUACAAUAUUCAGUACAUCAACCUCUACGCAAUCCUAGAGAUUUCAUAUAGCCACAAAACACAUCUCUAGGUAUUGGCUUUGUCAUAGGAUCUGCUACCAAUCUUAUGCGUAGUAUGUACUUUUAGUUCACAUCAUUUCGUGCAACCAUAUUUUAAACAAAGUUAUACUUGGUAUCUACAUGUUUGGUCUUGCCUUGAUAUUUUGGAUCUUUGGUGUACGCUUUUACUACUUGGCUAUCAUCGUUAACUAAUAACGAAUCUGCAGCACUUCCAAUAACACCUAAAUGAUCCAAUAAUCUCUUAAGCCAAACAUCCUCAUAUACUGCUGCUGAUAAUGCCACGGACUCAGUUUCCAUCGUGGACAAGGCUAUACACUGUUGUUUCUUACUGCUCCAACAAAUGGUGCCAUUAUUCGGUAAGAAAACAAACUAAGAGAUAGAUUUUCUUUCAUCUAAAUCUCCUUCUCAAUCAGCAUCAUAAUAGCCUUAGAGUCGCAGAUCCUUUCCUCAAUGACUCAGCGUAUAAUCAGCAGUCCCCUUUAGAUACCUUAGUAUUCUUUUAACGGCUUUCCAAUGUGCUUGACCUGGAUUGGAUUGGUAUCUACUCACCAUUCCAACUGCAUAACAUAUGUCAGGUCUUGUACACAUCAUAGCGUACAUCAAGCUCCCAACAGCAGUAGCAUGAGGAACAUAUUUCGUUUGUUCCUUCUCUUGUGGAAUCCUUGGACACAGUCUAUGGCUCAAUCCUUCACCUUUUGCAAUAGGAGUGUCUUUGGGUUUACUAUCCCAUAUCCUUCAACUCAAAGUUGGAAGACAACCGACUUUUGACAAUAUUGACAGGCUCCAUAUUGCUUCCGGCAAUUGGUAUAUCAUCAACAUAUAAUGAUAUGAUCACAAAUUGAUCAUUGGAUCUUUUGAUAUAUACACAAUGAUCCUCAUCUAUCAUUGUAAAAUCAUAUGCCAUUAGGGUAUUAUGAAAUCGUAUAUACCAUUGUCUUGACGACUGCUUAAGGCCAUAUAUCGACCUCGAAAGUCGACAUACCUUUUCUUUUUGGCCUUUCACUAUGAAACCAACAGAUUGUUCCAUAUAUGUUUCUUCCUCUAAUUCUCUAUUGAGGAAAGCAGUCCUCACAUCCAUUUGAUGUAACUCAAGAUCCAUACCAAACACUAUUGCCAGAAUUAUGCGAAUCAAGGUAAAUCACACUACAGGAGAAAAUGUAUCUACAUAAUCAAUAUCUUCUUGUUGAUUAUACCCCUUCGCCAUAAGGUGAGCCUUAUGCCUUUCUAUCGAGCCAUCAGUCUCUCGCUUUAUUUUGAGAACCCACUUGUUCCCAAUAGUUUUGUGUCCUUUUAGAAGAUCAACCAGUUCCCAGACUUGGUUUGAUUUCAUUGACUCCAUUUCCUCUUUCAUUGCAUGAAUCCAUUUUUCCUUAUUAGGGCAAUUCAAAGCCUCAUUAAUAUUUCUUGGCUCAUACUCAUCUUGUGGAGCAACCAUAAAAGUUUCCCUUUCAAUGUCAAAACAUCGACGGGGAAUACUUUGGCGACUUGUUCACCGUAUGGGAGAUUGUACACUUAGCACAUCAUUCCCCAUUAUGCUCCCACUUGGAUUAUGUAAUGAUGAUGUCGUCACAUCAGGUGGUUACAAUUGAGAAUGAGUUGAAUUCAAUUCAUCACAUCUCAUAUUACUCCCACUUGGACGAACUCAACCAAUAUCAUUAUCUAGAUCCAAGGUUUCAAAUAGGAAAUAAUCUUCUCCUAUUUCGCCCCUCUUAGGAAAUUCAUCCACUAAGGAUGUGACAUCCCAUGAUUCAAAAUUCAGUUAUUCUCCCACUUUCCUGCUCACCUACGAACACAUACCCUUUCGAGUGUUCGGAGUAUCUCAUAAAAAUACUCUUCUUUCAUUUGGGACCAUAUUUCCCAAAUUUGUGAGAGGAUUCAUUAUAGGCAGCACAACCCCAUGACUUAAGAAAACCUAAGUCCGGUUUUCUACCUAUCCAUAACUCAUAUGGAGUGGAACUAACUGAUUUAGAAGGCACCCGGUUAAGUAUUUAGGCAGCAGUUAACAACGCAUCACUCCAAGAAGUGAUAUGUAAGUUAGCAUACACCAUCAUGGACCUAACAAUUUCCAGUAGGGUUCUGUUUCUUCUCUCUGCAACACCAUUUUGUUGAGGAGUAUAUGGAAUAGACAACUAUAUUUCUAUUCCUUUUCAUCACAUUAUUUUCUGAACUCAUCAGAUAAAUAUUCUCGACCUCGAUCGGAUCUCAAUACUUUUAUUUUCUUGUCUAAUUGAUUCUCUACCAGGGUCGUAAACCUUUUGAAACAACUUAUCGCUUCAGAUUUAUGAGAAACCAAAUAGACACAUCCGAAUAAAGUAUAAUCAUAUAUUAAAAGUGAUGAAAUAAACAGCCCCAUGCCUUCCUCUCACAUUCAUUGAACCACAAACGUCAUAACGGAUUAAAUGCAGAGGAAAUUCAGCUCUUUUACCUUUUCUAAAUGGUUUCCUUGUCGUUUCCCUUCUAGGCAAUGCUCACAUAUGGACAAAUCAACUUUUUCAAUAUUGCCCAACAAGCCCUCUUUGGCUAGUCUUUUCAUAUGUUGCUGGCCCAUAUAACCAAGUCUAGCAUGCCACAUAUUCACAUCUUUAUCAUAUGAAGUAGAAGACGUGAAACAAACAUUCACAUCAUUAUCAUGUGAAGUAGAGAAGACGUGAAACGAGGGAAUAACAAUUAUUGACAUCGCCACAGUCAACAUCUAAUACAAUAAAACCAUCAAGAAAGUGACCACAACUAUAAUAGUUCGUAUCCAAAUACAAAUCUACACCUCUAUUAUGGAAGUUCAUAUAAAAACCAAGCUUGACCAACAUCAAAACAGACACUAAAUUUCGACGAAUUUCCGGAGCAUAUAGAUCUUCAUGUAGGAACAAGUUGCGUCCACCACGCAUGUUCAAUUGGCCGGUGCCAAUCCAUUUAACUUCAUCUCUGGAGUUAUUUUCUACAUAGAUGCACUUAGUUCCAGUUGGUACUCGUCAAAAUUCCAUGAAGAAUUCUCUAUCCUUCGCUAUAUGGUAUGUUACAUCUGAAUCUAUAGCCCACAAAGGAUUGGAUUCAGCCAAUAAAGCAGAACUUGACACAUAAGCAAAGUUCUCAAAUGUACUAGAGGUGUAUACUUGCUUUGGCUCACGACAGUCGCAAGCAUAGUGACCUCUCUUGUCACAAUUGUUACACCUCACCCUUGACAUUUUCUUUACUUGAGGACGUUUUCCUCUCUUGUGUUGGUUAACCCUUGAUUUCUUGCAAUAAGGACUUGAUCCUUUGCAUGCCCAUAUAUUGAACGAAUCAAUACGCUUGCGCUUAGAGCUCAAAGCCCUUUCUAAGCUAGAACCAACAUUGCCAAUAUUUAUUUUCGGCUCAAAUGCCAUUAGGCGGUCCUCUACUAGCUCAAGGUGGCGCACGGCACCCUCAAGAUCUUCCAUAAUUUGGUCAAGAGCUUCUAGUGCUUCUUGCUUUUACAGCACAUAUUGAAUCUUCAUAUUCAAUAUUUCACAAUUGUUGCCGUUCAUAUCAGCAAUCACAUUCUUAGUUGCUGAAACCAUCAGUCUGAACACAUCAGACAUACAUGCACGAAUAAUUAAUGCCUAUCAUUUAUGCAUCCCUAUUUACAUAGACCCAUCAUAUUAAUGAAUAAUCUCAAGUAAGGCUUCAGAAUCAAAAGGUCACUACGUUUCCAAUCAGCCUCCAAAAAUCCUAACUUAAAACUAUCAUUAAUAUGAUUGUCAUAUGUAAAAUCAAUUCUAUGAAACUACAAAAACUUCUAAAACUACCCACAGCUAAUUACCCACAGCAACCAGCAAUAACAAAAAGCAAUAUAUAAUAGAAUAUCGAAUAAAAUAACAACGCUUUCACAUGAUACAACUAACAUAUCGGUUGCUACAUCAACAACAAUCAGGUAGUAAACAUUACAUAAUUAAUCAAAGAAAUAAUUAGGGAAAGUCCCUUCUAAUCUAUCAGUCAAAACAUCUGAGAAAACCGAAGGCACAUUUGCCAACCAUGGAAAAAUUUUUGGAGAGCUCUUAUGUCGCCACCAAGGCGCAUUCGCUCUGCGCCAUGUGGCGCUCAAUCUAAGGGUUGAAGUUUUGGCCAACUCAAUCCUAUAGUAUUCUCUUACAAAAGUUUCCACUAGACCUCUAUAACCCGGGACCACGUUGACCUCCCAUAGCCGAUCUAACACUGCUUGCCAUUCAGGUGGAAGAGUGUUCAUCAAAGCCGGCACCUUCUCAAAGUCCAGCAUAAGAUAACCAUUCCAGAUGAUUUCCUGUAUCAUUUGAUUGACCUUGACCAUGUGUGAUACUAAAUCACCAUCAAGCCACCGAUAAUCAGCUAACCCUUUCAUCAGCCUUUUCAGUCUAGCUCUUCCUUCGUCCGUUCUUGGGAUUGCAGGUAUCCGUGCAUAACGCAUCAUAAUUCCUGCAACAAAUGCAAAACUAAAAUGGAUCACUUAUAAUCCAUAAUAAACAAAAUGGAAAAUACAUAAAUUUCCAUGAUUCAUGCAACAAAUGCAGAAUAAAAAUGGAUUACCUACAACCCACACAGGCAUAAUUGAAAAAAGAAACAAAUUCCUUUUUUUUUUUUUUUUUUUUUCGGGUCAACGGUCAAAGUCAACGGUCAACGGUCGUCGGACCGGCCGGACCGGACGGACCGGUCGGGCCGGUCGGAUCGCUCGCGCGGACCGACGCACGUGCCGCGCGCGUGCGGGGGAUGACAUCACGCAGACGUCAUCCGCACGUGCCUGCCACGUGCCUUGGUCUCCGGUGGGUCGGGUCGCCGGCUGGUGACCGCCCAGCGAAACGUCGUCGGCGAUGACGUCAUCGGUGACGUCAGCACGCGUCGGUCCGCGGACCGGCGCGUGCCGUUUCGCCGGUCGCCGGCGCGCACGUGCCGGUUCGUCACCGGCGCGUGUGGCGCACGCGCUGGCCAUUGCCAGCGCUUCGGGCGCGUGGCGCCCACGCGCAGCGGCUUGUGGCCGCGCGUGUGGGCGCGUGCGGCAUCUUCCGGCGACGCACGACAUGUCGCCGGACUCGUCUCGUCCUCGCCUUUCACGCAGGGCGUACAGUGCUCGGGUGUCGGGAUUUCACGCCCCGAUCCGUACGGCCGAGAAUUUUUUACGAAAAAUCAAUGAAAAACAUCAAAUUGAUCGGGAAAAACUUGAACUAGGGCUCUGAUACCAAUGUUGGGAAUGACUGAUCCCCGAAAACCGGAUUCGACACCAAAUCGAAUCCCUAAAUCAAUGCGGAAGACGAAGCCCGGGAAAAACACGUAUCACCGAUCGUAAAGCACACCACGGAGUCGAGCGUACCUUGUUAGCCACAGAUUAAACACCGUCGUCAAUGGAGGAAGAGAGUCCGGUCGAUGAAGCCUUGAAGGGAAGAAAUUGGAAGCCGUAUGCCUACUGUUCUUCGGGAGAGAAAACGCGCGGGAGAGAAGCGUACGUUGAUUGUGCCAAAGGGUGCUUCUCUCUCUCUCUCUCCUCCCUUUUAUACCUUCCCCCAUCCACGGGCCCUAUUCCCGUGGGCCAGGCUUUUUGGGCCCAACUUGGGCGGACGGGCCAACUCAGGCCCAUCUCAUAAAUCCAUCAGUUGCUCUAGUCAUCCACUUAGCGGUGAUCCUUUGACGCGGUUUUGGCUCCCGAUGCUCAAGGAGCUGCUGGGGAGGCAUAUGUUGGCACAAGAUCGCUAGUAGCAGGAUCCUCUGCCACGAUUACCAUGUGACGAUGGAGUUUAACAUAAUUUCGAGCCUUUGGAUAUAGACAUCCAGCUUCAAAUUCAUUUAUAUAGUUUAAAUUCAAGUCACGGAUCAUUUGGUUAGAAGCUUCCGAUAGUGCAUGAUUGUGACUUCUCCUGAAUAACAAUAAUUAGCAUGUACACAUUGCAUUUUCAACAAGUCAUAACGCUAUUUCGCUUUUAGUAAUAAUAGAGGAAGGGUUUGGCUUGCUCUGAACAAGUAGGCCAACUUGUUCUCUACUAGAAGGAAACGUUUGGCUGAGGCAAGUCGACUUGUCAACUUGUUUUCUAGAAGUGACGGUUUGGAACCUCAACUUAAGAUUCACGGCUAGUUUCUCUUCCUUCUUUAAUGGCAAGUUGACUAAGAUUUGGAGGCCAACUUUGAUUUUUCUUCUUGACGGCCAAUAUAGGAUGUUGAUUAUUCAACACCACCCUCUUUUGAUCUGCCCAGUCCCCUACAGACCUGUCCUAGUCGUAGCUCCGUCGAUAUUAUCUUCUAUCGUUGUAAGCAGUGGCCACCCAUUGCCGUAGCAGAGUUCCCACGCAUACACCGUGAAUUGUCGAACCUAGCGCUCGUCCCCCCUGCUCAGCAGUUUUCUCUUCCUGCUCGUCCAAACCUGGCGCUCGUCCUUGCUGGAUUGCUGUUUUUGAUCUAAUCUUGUUCACCGGUCAGCUCCAGAAAGUCUACUCGGAAUAGGUAAAUCUCUUUUCCCCUCAAGCUGAUUCAUCCAGAACCUCACUGCUAAAGUAUCUGGUAGGCCUUUAUUACACGGGAGCAGCCACCAGUCAUUUCUGAAAUCUUUCUAUAUAUUUGAAGCAAAAGAAGAGGUGGCAGCAGCAACAAUAUUUUCGUUCUUAAACUGACUUCAUGCCUGUCUAUAUUCCCGAUUGCAAGUUUAAUAACAAAAUUUUAGUAGAAGUUGAUGUCAAAUACUUGCUGUCCCGAUUAAAGUUGCGUCAUGGUGAUUUGUUGAAUAUUUUUGCCAUCCAUGUUUAUGAAAUUGCAUAUGGCUAGGUCACUCUCGAUCACGUCUUCACGUGUAAUUUCAUGAAUUUACAUGUGUCAAAUUUCAUAAAAGUCAUCCACGGCAUGUUAUACACAUUCGUUGCAUUCUAGAUUGUAUAUUAGGGGAGGUGUUUAACAAAACUACGUGUAGAGUUAUUAGGUGUUGCACAUUUAGGAAAUUGCAUAUCAUACAUUUACAUAUUUAGGGAAAGUCAUAUUCACAUUUUUAAGUGUGUUCAUAUUUGCUGAUUUGGACAGACUUAGGAUUUUUCAUUACAUAUUAGGAUGGAAUUUCAUCAUAUUCGUGUCAGGAUAAUUAUAUUCGAAAAAUUACAAUUUCAUGGACAAGCAUUAUCAUAUCCCACGGACUCCACUCUCAUUCAAUUAAUUUCUUGCAUGCAUAUCGAUUGUCGCCAAUCACCACCAUCUCUAGUCGUCGCUCCAUCAAUACCAUCGUUCGUUGUUGCAAGCAGCGACCACGCAUUCCCGUAGCUGAAUACGUACGCGUACACAGUGAACUGCCAAGCCUAGCGCUCGUGCUUGCUGGAUUGCUGUUGUGGAUCUAAUCCCGUUCGCCUGGUCAGCUCCAGGAAGUCUACUUGGAAUAGGUAAAAGACAUCUAUCUACUUGCUCUCUUUUUCCCUUGAACUGAUGCAGCAAGUUUAAUAACAAAAUUGGGGAAAGUUGAUGUCAUAUACUUGCUGGCCAGAUUAAAGUUGCAGCUUGACUGCAUAAUUCAUGGUGAUUUCUUGAUCUUAAUGCGGCUUAGUUGUUUUAAUGAGGUGAUACAUCUGCAUGCAUAAUUGUUUAAGCCAAAAUUUGGACCUCUAUUUUAUGGUUUUUCAUUACAUAUUAGGAUAGAAUUCAUUAUAUCCGUAUCAGGACAAUUAUAUUAGAAAACUUAGAAUUUUCAUGGACAAGCAUUAUCGUGCACAUCUAGGCUUUUGGAGUGCAUUAUUAUUAAUUCUCUUUUUGCACGUUUCCUUUCAUAAAUCACAUACUAUAAUUUGGGAAAUCUAGGAAAAUCAUAUCUUGCUUAUUAAUAAAUUGAGAUUGCAUCUUCAUAAAAAUGUGAAGUGGAACUCCCCGCGAGUCACGAAGAGUCUUAUCGCCCCAUUCCUGCAUUUUUUUUCUUUAUCAGUUUUUUGCUGUUUUUCGUAUUUAGUUUUUCCUUUUGCUCUUUUUCCAUUUAUUAAACUUAUAUUCUGAAAAGAUAAAUGGAAAUCUAGACACAAUUCCAAUAGACAAGUACAAUAGAGAUUAAUGAAUGACUAAUCACAAUGUGAUUAAAAAUGACAAAAGUUGGACUAAAAUUAUAGUUUUGUUAAUUUGAGCAAGAGAAACAAUAAUCAGUGCCAAUUGUCAAUCACACAAAAAAAAGAAAAAAUCGGCACCCACGUAAUGCGUGGAAAGUCUACUAGUAAUGUAAAAGAGACAUUCGCAUGGGAACGGAAGAGGAGAGAUUUGAAAAGUGAAGUGAUAAAUCCAAUUUGCAUCUCCGUAAGUCUUGGUCUUUCUGGAUUUUAUUAAAUUUUCUUUCCAAUCAGCUCUUUACCAAUUUUGCUUCACUUUCACGACAAAAAAGUUCAUGAUAUCCACUGAAGUUCUGGUCUUCUCGAGUUUAUGAUUUACUUACACGAACGAGUAUAUGAUCGUGGAAACUACAAAUGUGCGGGGAUAAUCUCUAAAUAUUACAGAACAACCACUUGUGAAAGAAAAAGUUGCAGCAAGACGGGCGAAAAUAUCUGCUGAAAGGUGAUGAGUUAGUAACCGAUGAUGGGGAAUCGCCUAGAAAGAGAAUCAUGGUCCUUUGAACUCGAUUUUCCUGUUCAUUGGUGUGAUGAAUAAAGUAUAAUUUUUUAGUAGAUUAUACAUUGUCAUUUGGUGAUUUGUGACUUGUUCACUAUUUGCAUAGUAAAAUAAAGCAAGUUGCUUAAUGAAUUAGUAGGUAUGCUUGACCCUUUUUCUUAUUAAUCCCAAAGCACGUGUUUCCAUUCUUCUUAAUGGACAGACAAAGUUAAUUGUCUUUGAUGACAUGUAUAUGUAUAACAGAAAAUAAGAUGCAAUUAUUGGGUGAAUCCUCAAUAUGUUAUGUUUCAAAAGCAUUUAUUUUACUGAGUUGCACAAAUAUGUUUAUUUGCCAAUCGUAUUAAUUUGGUCAACUUCAUUCAUCGCUAAACAAGAAAAAAGCGAUAAUCACACUGACUAAUCCAUCAAGCAAGUUGCUUUCUCUCACUCUGGAAAUGGUAAAUGAGUCAAAUAUUAACAAUAUAUAAUUAACUAGAUGUCACACUCUACGAACUUGAUAAUUGUGUUCCUAUCAAGGUGAUUCUCGAUUAUCGACCGCUACCUUAGCACCCUUCAACAAAUCAUUGUUGCCCAUCUUGAUGUGAAUCUUUAGCAUGGUAACCGCCAUGUAAAAGAAUUCAUCAAUCUCACAUUCACCAAUAAAGCAAACAAAGACAUUGAAAUCAUAAGGUUACUAAGAAUAUACAGAUGCUAAAAAAGCCAACAAAACACUUGUGAGGGAUAACACUUAUAAUGAAAAUAUGCAAACACUCUAAGUUGGUCAUAUUAAGACUCUAUUUUGGAUGGCCAAAAGUAAAGGUCCGACAGUAAAAAAGACUUGAUCUGAAGAAUAAGGAGAGCAAUUGACGUAACAAACACUUGUGGACAAAUAGUAUUUUAUUUUAUUUCUAUUUGUCUAACCUUUGAUGUGCAUCCCUUUAAAGUCUGGGUCUUUUUUAAAUAUUUUUCCUAGGUCAUUGUCUUGGUCUUCCUAGACUUCAUAGUUUUUUUCUCUCCAUUAGCUCAUUUUCAAUUUGUUUCACCAUAACACCUUUAUUGUUCUUUACAGUAACUGAUUCGCCUAUGGCCAUUGGAGAGAUCGUUUUGGGUUCCUUUUUGGCUUCAUUCUUUCAGGUCCUAUUCGACAAGUUGACUUCGUCCACAUUAAGUUGUGCACAACGAGAUGGAAUCAACACCGUCUCACUUGAGGAGUGGAAGGAUAUGUUGGUAACAAUCAAUGCAGUGUUGGCUGAUGCAGAGAACAAGCAACUUAGUGGUAACCAUCAAGUGAAGCUAUGGCUAGAUAGGGUAAAGGACUUGGCCUAUGACAUGGAAGACUUGCUCGAUGGGUUUGCGAUAAAAGCUGCUCAUAUUGAGUUACAGGUAGAAUCUAGCACAAGUAGAAGUUUACAAAAAUUGAAGUCCCUUUUCUUAGGCCAACAACACUCGCUCGUGUCUAAAACCCAGAUACAAGAGAUCAAUUGCAGGUUGGUAACGAUUGUCACUGGAAAGGCUAAUCUAAGCUUCAGAGAGAAUGUUAUGGACAUAUCCAACUUCACCAGUAAAAGGGAUCCAACCACUUCUCUACCUGAGUCACAGUUUUUUGGUAGGGAGGAGGAAGAAGCACAAAUACUUGAACUAUUGAUAAAUGAUGUGCAUAAUUCUGAUGCCAUGCUAAGAAUAAUCCCCAUAGUUGGGAUGGGCGGUAUUGGAAAGACGGCCUUGGCUCAGCGGCUAUAUAAUGAUGCGGGAGUGAAUAGAUGUUUCAAUAGGAAAGCAUGGGUUUGUGUUUCGGAUGUUUUUGAUGUUUUUGACAUAACCAAGAAUAUUUUCCACUCAAUCACCGGGUUGUCAUGGCAGGACAACGAUCUUAAUGGGCUUCAAGUUAAGUUGAGGGACAAUCUAUCUGGGAAGAAGUUUCUUGUGGUUUUAGACGAUAUCUGGAAUGACAAGUACGAAAGGUGGACUGCCAUCUUGAAGCCAUUUGAAGCGGGGGCUAGGGGAAGCAAGAUCAUUAUCACGACUCGCAACCGUGCUAUUGCUUCCAUAACAAAAACGUUGCCGUAUUGUUUGCCGGGAUUGUCCCUUGAAAAUUGCACAAACUUAUUAGCCUUUCAUGCCCUUGGAGAAAUAAACUUUGAGAGCCACCCGGAAUUUGAAAAAAUAUGCAAGAAAAUAGCUAAAAGAUGUAAAGGUUUACCUUUGACAGCGAAGAUGUUGGGCGGUGCCCUACGUAGUAUAACGAAUCCCGAUGAAUGGGAAGAUACCUUAAACAACAUAAUAAGGGAUCUUGCAAUGGUAGAGAAUGAUGAGGUUCUCCCUAUUUUGACAUUAAGUUAUGUCCAUCUUCCUUCCUAUUUGAAGAGGUGUUUUUCUUAUUGUGCAAUAUUUCCUAAGGAUUAUGAAAUUGAGAGGGAUGAGCUCGUACUCUUAUGGAUAGCAGAGGGAUUUUUAGAUGGACAAAAGAAAAAGAAAAAUAAGUUGAAAUUAGGACGGAGUUACUUCAAUGAGUUAGUAUCUAGAUCAUUUCUUCAACAAUCAAGUGUUGACACAUCUAAGUUUUCAAUGCAUGACCUUUUGAAUGAUCUAGCAAAGUCGAUUGAGGGUGCAAUAUGCUUUAGCUCUGGGGAGUCUCAGGUGGUAGUUAAUGAAGAUGACGCAUCUCUUGGGAGAGCUCGUUAUGCAUCAUUCGUCUCAUCAAGGUUUGUUACAUCAAAAUGCUUAAGAGCAUAUCAUGGACUGAAGGUAUUAAGAAGUUUAAUUCUAGUGCAUGUUGGAUCUAGUCGGGGCCCAAAUAAGUUCUCUAUUUCCAACAAGGUGUUGCACGACUUGCUAUCAAACUUGAAGUACUUGAGGGUGCUCUCAUUAUGUCAUUGUGACAUCGUAGAGGUACCGAAUUGUGUUGGUGGAUUAAAACAUCUUCGAUAUCUCAAUUUCUCGUACACUGACAUCAAGAGGCUACCUGAGUCAGUUGUGGGCUUUUGCAAAUUACAAGCUUUGAUCUUAAGAGGUUGUCAUGAACUUUCAAUGUUGCCUCAAGGUAUCAUAAAGUUGGUCAGCUUACAAUUUCUUGAUAUUAGAGAUACAAAAAAUCUAAAAGAGAUGCCAUUGGGAAUUAGUAAUUUGAAGAAUCUUACUAUCUUGUCCAAGUUUGUGGUAGGAACAGAGAAAGGGCUACAGUUAAAGGAGUUAGAGAACUUGUCGCAUCUUCAAGGAGAAUUAUUCAUAUCAAAAUUGCAAAAUGUGAAAGACGUCAAAGAUUGUGUUGAUGCUAAGUUGUCAAGAAAGGAAGGCCUAAGCAACUUAUUCUUGCAAUGGGAUAAAGAUUUUAGAAAUCUCUGGAAUGAUAAGCACUAUUUCCAGGUGCUUGAUUAUUUGCAACCUCACUCAAAUCUUGAAAAUCUCACUAUCUCUUACUAUGGUGGUGCAGAAUUCCCGCCAUGGUUAAAUUGUCCCUCCUAUUCAAAGAUAGUGUCUUUGUGCUUCCUGAGCUGUCCAAAUGUCAUAUCGUUGCCCUCACUUGGACAGCUACCUUCACUGAGAGAAUUAUCUUUUGAAGGUCUCAAUGCAGUAACAAUAAUAGGUUCUGAAUUUUAUGGGGGUAAAAAGCCUUUUUCGUCCUUAAUCACUUUGAAGUUUAAAGAGAUGUUGACAUGGAAGGAUUGGUCUCCUUAUGCUAGGGCCCCAAAAGAAGAAGUCCCAUUAUGCUGUCUUCAGCAUCUUGUUGUCCGAAACUGUCCUUCGUUGGUCGGGACAUUGCCUUGUCAACUUGAUCGUCUUAUAAAGCUUGAAAUUCAUUCAUGCCAACAAUUGAAUAACUCGACCAGUGAGUUAUGUCUUCCAUCUCUCGAUGAGUUAUACCUUGAGGAUUGUAGUAAGGAGAUCUUAAAGAGCUUGUUCAAGCUAACUUCUUUGACAGUUCUCAAAAUUAACAAACUCAUGGAGCUUGUUUCCUUUGAUCAUCGGUUUAUGAGUUGCUUGGGCAAGCUAAGGAAGCUUCAUAUAGGACUGUGUGACAAACUAACAUGCUUGUGGCAAGAUGGAGAUGAAACGCAAAAUCUCACUUGCCUCCAGGAAUUAGUAAUAAAAAAUUGUCCUCAAUUCAUAUCUUUUGUGGCAGGAGACGGAGAGAUAGAGCUACCCUGUAAUCUUGAAAGGAUGGAAUUGGUGGAUUGCACAAGUUUAGAAAAUCUUCCAAGCAAGAUGCACGCACUCAAACAUUUGGUGAUCGAAAAUUGUCCAAAAAUCAUGGCUCUAAACAUUCCUCAAGGUGACUCGAGCAUCAAUAAUUCGAUUUCUCAACUUGAAUCUCUUAAGAUACAUCACUAUCAUUCUUCGAUAUCCUUUUCAUUUGCCAAGGGUAGACUUGCUCCUUUGAAGGCACUUCAUAUAGACAAUUGUGAGGGAGUGGAGUCAUUGGAAGGGAUUGCCGUAGAAUCGCUUGAAACAAUGACAAUUAACAAUUGUCAAAAUCUGAGAAGCUUACCACAAUGCCUUCACACGCUCUCUCAUCUCACUCAAUUGGAUAUUUGUUAUUGUCCAGCACUGGAGAUAGAGGACUUCCCUCCCCUUCCCGUAACCCUCUCGAGUCUUGUUCUUAAGCUUUGUUCUAAGAUAAAGUCUAUUGCCAACUGUAACAUUGCCAACUGUAACAAUCUCACUAAAUUGGUUAUAUGGAAGUGUCCGGUAUUGGAGAUAGAGGACUUCCCACCCCUUCCCAUCACCUUGCAGAGUCUUGAACUUUGGGAUUGUCCGAUGAUAAAGUCCCUGCCAAAUAAGUGGCAUCAUCUUAUGUCCCUCCAAAAGCUAAGAAUUUUCUUUUGCCAAAAUAUCAAAUGCUUCCCCAAAGGAGGUCUGCCUCCCAAAUUGCGAGACCUUGAAAUUACGAGGCUCGCGGCUCUAAAGCAGCCAGUGAGAGAGUGGGGCUUACCCCUGUUCACAUCUCUCGAGAGUCUGACCGUUGCGUUUAACAUGGGAGGGGAGGGAGAGAAGGAGUGGUUUCCUUUGGAGGAUAAGGAUGCUUGGAGUCUCUUUCCUUCCUCUCUAACCUCUCUUUCGAUAUAUGGUUUGAGAAAUACAGAAAGACUAUCAAGCGGUCUCCGCAACCAUCUCUCCUCUCUUCGAUGGUUUUUUAUUAGAGAUUGUCCCAAGUUGAGGUACUUGCCAGAGGAUGGCUUCCCUCCCUCCCUCCAACAAUUGCGCAUAGUUGACUGCAAGAUUCUGAAAGAGCGAUGUGCAAAACUCACUGGUGACUAUUGGCCCCUCAUCGAAGAGAUCCCUGAGGUUCACAUCUGGUGAAUUGAUUCGUGCAUCUACACUACAGUGAGUUUUCUUAGGGUUUGAGUAAGUUAUUUUUGGUUUUGAAGGCAUCCUUUUCCAUUCUACUUUCUCAAUUCGAUGCUCAAUACGAACUGAUGUUUGGGUGGGGAUUGCGUUGGGUUGGAUUGGCUCUAUUUCGUUGGACGAUGAACUGUAGGAUGAAACGCUCGCAGUGCUGCCUCUUGCUAUGUUGACAACAUAUCCUCAUUUCUGCUCGAUGCCCAAACCAUUUGUGAAUGAAAUCGCACCAUCACGAAGAAUCGUAGCAUUCCACAAUCAUAGUCCUCUGCAUUUUCAGCGUCUAUUGUUUGUUCUCUUCCCAACAUAUUUUUUCUUGGGCCCUUAAGCUCAUUCACUCUGGUUGUUUUGCAGAUACCAUUAUCAUCUUGCAUUGGCAGAAUCUCUUGGAAGGAUCACGUGUGAACGUUGCUAAGGUAGGGCUAAUGCUGUCGGUGUCAUUGUCUUGCUUCAUUUUUUUUUUUGCAAUUUAUCAAUAAAGGAAGAAGCAAUUAAAUAUAUUUGUUGCACUGCUAUGUUCUGAAUUUUCCUUUUGGUGAAUAUCAUCUAAAUAAGAACAAAUCUUUUUCAAAAUCUAAAAGGAUGAUUAGUUAUGUGGAAGCUAUGAUGUGAUUGUGAAGAAAAUGGAUGCGGUUUUUUCAUUUUAUGGUUUUCUUAAGAAUUGGGAACCUUCUUCUUCUUCUUCUUUUAUGAUGAUUCUUCGUAGUAUUAAGCAGUCAAUCUGGGAUAAAAUUCUGAGGCAGCUCAUGGCUCCAAGCUUUUGCGUGACAGCAUUGAUAUUCCAUAAAUUGCUUUCUAGUUGGGUCUUGAAUUUUGGUGGUUUAGGAACUGUUGCUCACAACUUGCUAGAAAUUUUUAGCAAAUAUACUUAUGCCUGUUUGGUUGAGAUUGUAAUGAUAGGCUGCCUACCUUUGGGUUUGCAUCAUUAGCGGUGACCUCUGGGUUGGCAUUUCCAUUUACUCGACCGCUAAUAUGAUUUCAUCAUACAUUGUGCCAUUGUAUCUUAAAAUACCUUCUCAUGUGGCAUUGUUCCCAAAAGGAGUUCCAGAACAAAAUGUUCGAGCUGACAUGGGUUCCUUUGGAGUAACCGGAAAUCUUGCGAUUCAACCAAUUUGUAUCUUGCCUGGUAUAUCUCCUCUCUCUGUGCUGGUGUUGCAUGUAUAAAUCUUUUGUUGAAGCAAUGUUCUUAUGACAUUGUGAAGCUCUAUUAAAAAUUAGAUAAUUUGUAAUCUGAAUUGUGGUUCGUUGUGUACUUUCUCCAAGGUUUUUUGGAUGUUAUUGCACAUAUAACAUGGUGCUUUGACCAUAUAAAUAGGUGGUUAGAAAAGCAAAGUGGCAUUUGCCAAGAUAACUUUCAAGCAACCUCACAUAGUUUUGCUUGAUGACCCAUCCUAUCAUUUGGUAAGUUCUACUCAUAUUUCUCCAUUUUAUGACUUUGAUUACUUUUUCAGUUAGCUUGUUAUUGUUCUUGCACUAAUUGAACUUGUCAGAAUCUGGUUUUUACAUUAAAAAUAUAGUAGAACCAAAUGGUGGUCACGGCUGCUAGUAGCCCUUAUCAUCAUACACUAGCAAAUAAUGGAACAUAAACCAAUCUAAUUGUUCCAAUGUGGAAAAUAUUCGGAAUAAAGCAAUCUACAAUACCAAAUGGUACUGAUCUUUGUGCCUAUAGGCAGUAUUGGGCUUUACAUACAAAUAUGUGGACCCCUUUUUGUUUGUAAAUCUGGUCUUUAAGUUUUGCUUUAAUGACCAGUGACUAAAGAAUUAUCUUUGUAAAUUGUUAGUUUCUUGUCUAAUAAUUAGUGUUUUUGUUUUUUUUUUGCCUAUCCACACCUGUAGGAUUUGGAUGUGGCUGAGGCGCUCAUUCAAGGUCUGGUCUUGUUCCAAGGAUUAAUUUUGAUGGUGAGAUUGAUUUUCUUGUCAAAAUACUUCAAUUUGACCAAUGAUGGUGAGAGUGCUAGUAUGAACAAAAUAAAGGAGUUAGGGAAGAGAAUAAGAACACAAGAUUUAUAGUGGUUCGGCUUAAUCCAAGCCUACGUCCACUCUCCCACGAUAACAGCCUUCUUGGCUGGAUUCCACUAUGCAAUCAACAAGAAAUUACAACUUCGAGUGCAAACACUUAGUAGUAGAUCACACUAUCUCACUAAGUCACUCUUUUGGUAUUCCUCUCUCGAUUACAAACGUUUAAGCUCUCAAGAGACAAGUAUAUGAUCAAAAGUCGCUCAGACUUUGGAAUUAUAAAUUCUACGCUCCGUCUCUUACUUGCUCAUCGGUCCAUGAUCUCCUUAAAUACUCCUCCACUUCCAAACUACCCGUUGGACAGUAUCCCGGAGAAUCGUCUUCCAAUAUACCCAUUGGACAGCUCUGUAUCUAGAAGAUUUGGUAGCCGUUGAGUGACAAAGGUAAAAUCCCAAAUUGAUUCCGAUCGCCCAUACAAACGAAAUCUUGGUUUCCAUAAGUAAAGCUUCUUCAUAUAGAAAGUUCUUGUCUUCAAGAUCCAAUCGUCAAUCAAAUAGAUUGAAUCAAUCAAAUCAAUCUUGAUGUGGAAUCCAAACCAGAUCACUAGCCGUUAUAUGAUUGGGCUUGAGUUACGAUCUGUCGAGUCUUGAUGUAAAGUCUGAGAGCAAUAAACUUUACAAUCUGAGUCUGAGUGCGAUAGACUUUACAAUCUGAGUCUGAACAUAUUCUGCUUCUGAACAGAUUUAGCUUUAAGGUUUGUAUCCAGUUCAGCUUCAGCAUAGAGUCUGUCUUCUAGUUCAUCAUUCACGUUCAGUCUAGAAUUAGUUAGAGUUGACAGACUUCUGAUGUAGAACAGACUUUGACACUAAAGUCUAGCAGUCUUCAGACUUUGACACAGAAGUCUGGAAAUCUUCAGAAUAUACUUUGGACAUAUGUUACGUUCAGUCUUCUGGUCAUCUUCGCACUUUGACAAUAUCCUUUACAUGUUCUAUCAUCUGCAUGGUCUAUUACUCAACCAUCAAACAUGUUAGUAGCCUUUGAUUUAUUUUGUCAUCUUCAAAACAUCAUAAGGGAUUUCUCUAACAAUCUCCCCCUUUUUGAUGAUGACAAAACAAUAUCUGAAUAUGCAGAUUUGUAAACAUACUUUUAAAUCAAAGGAUAUCAGAAGAUAACAAAUAGAUUGAGCAUAACAAUAUAUAGAAAAAUAAUCACAGCUCAAUAUUAUGCCAUAGAUAAUAUCAACCAUUCAACACAUGCAUAUUCAUAUCUUCUCUCCCUUUUUGUCAUACUCAAAAAGUGAUAAUAAUGGAAAAAGUAUCACGUAGAGAAUGAUAACAAAUAUUUUGCAUGAAUCACAAUUUCCAAAAAUCAGCUUUUAUAAAGUAAAUCGAAUAUUAAAGAUAUGCAAUAUAGCUCACUUUGAUCAUAUAUAUAUCAACAAAUAUCCAAUAAAAAUCACGGAUGCAUCAUGAAAUUCACGUACACUUUUUGUCAUAAUAAAAUGAUAAUAUCAGUAAGAGAUUUGUUAAUGACAAAAGGUAAUAACAGAUGCACUAACCGGAUUUCUUUUUGGAACAAAUUCUGACACAUUUACCUUUCAUUCCAUCCAUAAUAAGAUCACGAUCAAUUCAAAAAGAUUUUUCCAAAAUUGAUCAAAGCUCCCCCUCAAUUUGUUGCCUCUUUGAGAUGAUCACGAUUCUUUUCCUUUUCUUUUGGAUUUGCUUUCUCCCCCUCGAUUUCCUCAUCGAAUUAUGAGUCUGUGUCUAAGUCAGACUCUGAUUCUGAGUUUGCGUCUGAGUCAGACUCAGAUUCUGAAUGUGCUAUUAAGCAUAAAUUUCAUUUCCAUCAAAAUAUGGUGGCCUUGUGUUGCUUUGCCCUUCCAUAAGACCUAGUGCCAAGAUACUAGCCAUAAAGAAUCUUUAGCUCAAAAGUAAAAACACUUUUAUAAACUGAGCACUUGGCUCUGAUACCAAUUGAGAAUGCUAGUAUGAACAAAAUAAAGGAGUUAGGGAAGAGAAUAAGAACACAAGAUUUAUAGUGGUUCGGCUUAAUCCAAGCCUACGUCCACUCUCCCGCGAUAACAGCCUUCUUGGCUGGAUUCCACUAUGCAAUCAACAAGAAAUUACAACUUCGAGUGCAAACACUUAGUAGUAGAUCACACUAUCUCACUAAGUUACUCUUUUGGUAUUCCUCUCUCGAUUACAAACGUUUAAGCUCUCAAGAGACAAGUAUAUGAUCGAAAGUCGCUCAGACUUUGGAAUUAUAAAUUCUACGCUCCGUCUCUUACUUGCUCAUCGGUCCAUGAUCUCCUUAAAUACUCCUCCACUUCCAAACUACCCGUUGGAUAGUAUCCCGGAGAAUCGUUUUCCAAUAUACCCAUUGGACAGCUCUGUAUCUAGAAGAUUUGGUAGCCGUUGAGUGACAAAGGUAAAUUCCCAAAUUGAUUCCGAUCGCCCAUACAAACGAAAUCUUGGUUUCCAUAAGUAAAGCUUCUUCGUAUAGAAAGUUAUUGUCUUCAAGAUCCAAUCGUCAAUCAAAUAGAUUGAAUCAAUCAAAUCAAUCUUGAUGUGGAAUCCAAGCCAGAUCACUAGCCGUUAUAUGAUUGGGCUUGAGUUACGAUCUGUCGAGUCUUGAUGUAAAGUCUGAGAGCAAUAAACUUUACAAUCUGAGUCUGAGUGCGAUAGACUUUACAAUCUGAGUCUGAACAUAUUCUGCUCUUGAACAGAUUUAGCUUUAAGGUUUGUACCCAGUUCAGCUUCAGCAUAGAGUCUGUCUUCUGGUUUAGCUUCAGCAUAGAGUCUGUCUUCUGGUUCAUCAUUCACGUUCAGUCUAGAAUUAGUCAGAGUUGACAGACUUCUGAUGUAGAACAGACUUUGACACUAAAGUCUGGCAGUCUUCAGACUUUGAGUCUUGAGUCUGGCAGUCUUCAGACUUUGACACAGAAGUCUGGAAAUCUUUAGAAUAUACUUUGGACAUAUGUUACAUUCAGUCUUCUGGUCGUCUUCGCACUUUGACAAUAUCCUUUACAUGUUCUAUCAUCUGCAUGGUCUAUUACUCAACCAUCAAACAUGUUAGUAGCCUUUGAUUUAUUUUGUCAUCUUCAAAACAUCAUAAGGGAUUUCUCUAACAGAUAGAUCAUUUCACAGCUAAUAGCCCUCUUUUCACCUUGAUUUGCAGGUUGGUCACGGUGAGCAUCUAAUAGCUAGAAGCUUGGAUGAGGUAUGGGUGGUUACAUGGCAAGGUGGCACCUCUCCAUGGGAAUUUCUAGGACUAUAGGAAUGUACUCCUAUUUUUAUUGAAUCAAGUGAAUCUAGUUAUUGCCAUCGACUAAGAGUGGUUUAGUGGGUUCACAUUACCUCACAAAACAGAAAAUGAGGCUUAGCUACAUAGAGAAAGCAAAAAACGAUGAAGAGAGCAUUGUUGUUGAUAUACAGGACAGGCUCACAGUUACACCAGCCCUUAUUUGUCAUUUAUACUUGACAAGGGCUUGUGGAACGAUGGGUCUAAGUUUUUGACAUCGAGCAUACAGUAUCAUUUGCAAUAGCUUAAGAACUGAGUUGGGAUUGUAUUACUGGUAUAAUUUAUUCUUUCUUGCAAAUUUUAUUCUAGCAAUAUGUUCAUUUGUUGUGCCCCUAGAAGUUUGAUACUCUGUCGCUGUGGAAGCCAGCUUUCCCAUACAUGGUAAAAUGAUUUAAUCAUUUGCAAAAAAAUCUUUUUAGCACAGUAAAUUAUUUUGUAAGACAAUCUAUUUUUGUAUGAAUAUAUUUUCCCUAUUUUCAUUCUUUGCAUUGUUCAGGAGAAUUAAUUAUGAAAAUAUUAUCACGGUCAACAAAACUUUAUAUUCAACUCUAAGUACAGAAUUGCGUUGGCUAAUUAUAAUGUAGGCCUUGCGUAGUCAAAAAAAUACUUUAAUGAAAUUCCAUAUAAAUACCUGGAUUUGUUAGAUAAUAUCCUUUUAAGAUGUUCAGGUCAUCAUUGAAAAUAAGAAGCUUUCUUUCUCCCAACUGCUACGGUGCAGAUGGACAAACGGAACUGAUAACAGAGGUUUGAGUAAGCGAAUGUGACAGCUAAAUUCUGAAUGAGCCUGCAGGUGAAAACAUGUUAGUAAACUGGUUGCCUGGUCAAAGAUUGAAUUUCAUUUUCAUUUUAUUCAAAUACCCACUCCACUCCAUCUCUUGACAACAAUUUUAGCGGUCCUACAUAUUAUAUUUCCUGUGCAGGACGGGGAACGGGAGGGAGGAUCAAUAGCCGUGGCUACCCUCUGGAUGUUUCUUUGAGGACUUGCGUCUGCUAUGAGAUAUUCUGAUUCCAAGAAGAUCGUCAGUUAGCGCCACUCAUAAUUAACUCCUUGAAGUGGGCAAGUCCCACCACUUUUACCCCCAUCGAGGUGCUGAAGGUUCAGAACCAUUCACUCGUGACAAGAUACACGCACUACCAUUGCAAAUGGUUUCAAUCUCAUGAGCUCACAUGUUGAAGAUAUACCUUGAAUUCAGGUAAAUGAAGGGAAUUUGAUCCAAAAAGGAAAUGUGCUACUAUGGCUUCCUUGAUAUACAAUUUUGAGGAAUACUGUUACAUGAGUUCUAUUAUUGGACACUUCUGUUACAUUAUAAAGUUGUUGCCUGCUAUAUGAGGUUUUUGCCAUGACAAUCAUUUCCAUGUUGAGGAGCGAAACUGUUUUUCUACUUCUUCAUCGUCAGACCCGGCUUGAGACACUGUCUCACGAACUACUUUUAGCAGAGACUUUUGAUCUGGAGCUGCUGCGAAUUGAGCUUGAUGUUGACAUUUGUGGAGGAAAAAUUGAGGUUGUCCUGGUAGUCUGUGGCUUUGGCCAAGUAGGAUCUGCAGCGAAACAUACCUGCUUCUUCAUUUGCAAAUUGAGUGGCGAAUUUUGCCCACCAUUUAAUUUUUUAGUUGUCUUUCGAGAAUAGGACACUCACGGUCGACUGGACGAGGUCUAACAUGCGAACAAUUAUUUUCAGGUCUGAUAAUAUCUGACAUGUAAAGAUGAAGAGGUUCUUGAAGAGGCCUAAUUGUUACCGAAAAUCAUUUCUCCGUGUAUGGAGCUUAAUUCUUCUUUUUUAGAGACUUGACAUUUUUGGCUCGGUAUUUUAUUAGGAUCCUUGACAUUGGUUAUGAGUAAUUUUAAUAGAGUCUGUAUCAACGAGAAUGAAUUCUUAAUAAAGUUUUGGUUAUAAGAUGAUGAUCUGCAAUAUAAUGAAUAUCCGGAGGGAUGUCACCCCGCAUUAUUUUAUGAUUGAUCUUUGAAAAGGUCUUCUAGGAUUCUAUUUGUUUUGAGAGAAACAUUUCAAUAAGAAAAUGUUAUUUUCAUUUUUCGCUAUUUAGUGUGAUAAAAAGAGCCGGUCAAAGGAAAUUACUUUAGUCAAUCAGAAAAUCAAAUGAAAAAAGAAAAUACAUUUUUUAAUUUAAAAAGUUGAGUACGAAAAUAAUACAGAGGAAUAUCUACACGGGAAAAGAGGUGUCACGGUGUUGUUCUAUUGCGGUCCUUCAUCCACCACAUAUUUCAAAAAAUACAAAACCAGGAAACUCUAACGGCUAGCAAUCGGUUUUAUGAUAUAUUCAGAAAGUUUGGCACAAGAUUGUAAGACGAACUAUUUUGAAGGGGAAAAAAGAGUAGUCCCUCUAAUUUGCUGGUACAAUAAAGUGGUGUUUUCUUAAUUUAAAUAGUUGGGAUCACCACUCAAAUGAUUUUCAUUUUAGUUAUUGCACAGAUUUUCUUUUGAUUGAUUAGUUUAACGCCAUUUUCUUUUUUUCGGUUGAAAGUUUGACGCCAUAUUGAUUUGGUUCCUUUGGUGUAACUAAAAAUUUUGCAGUUCAAGCAAUGCAUACCUUGUCUAGUAUAUCUCCUCCCUUUCUACUACCGUUACAUAUAAUUUUGUUUGUCUAAUCACUCUCAUAGCUCUUUAUUAUGUAUGAAAGAUAAUUUUAAUUAAUUUUCUUUUUUGGAUUUUUUAUUUUUUCUUAUGUUCAUCUCGCACCUUAUGUUGUUCUUCUUGUCGAAGAGUCUCCGAUACAAAUGACGGCAUUAUUCAAAUUUGUGUUGGUUGAUAAUGAUGGCAAUUAGCAAAAGCCAGGGAAUUAAAGAAAAAUUUGGGGCUUUUACUUUGUUUUUCAAUACAUAUUUUUAUUUUAUUUUUGUGACUGAAUAAUUUUGGAGUUGGUUAUUAAUUGAAGCAAGAAAUUCUCGACUAGCACCAAGAUGCAAAAAAAAAAAAAAAAUGCAAUUUCUUCACAUUUUGUAUGACAGGACAAAAAUUUCUUAUCUGGAAAAAAAAAAACAAGAUCAUUACACCGUAUACUUUCACAAUAGACAUCAAUUUACCCAGACUCCUUUGGAAUAGCAUCUUUAUAGAUUUAGAAUGUUGUAUGAUACGAUAUGAGGAUCGGAAGCCCGAUAGAAUUAGACCUGAAUAAAGUAUAUUGUAUCAUACGCAUACAAACUGUAAUAGCACAAAAACAAUGUGCAGCCAAGCAGGAAAUUCUCAACGAGUAAUAUCACGCUGAAAUGCUUUCUGAGUGCCGCCGAUAGCUCUGCGGUUCCGGUCUCAAUUCGUCUUGAAUUUACUUUAUUCAGUUGAAGUUUCUCAAUCUCACUUAAACUGGUGCCAAUCGUAACAAAAAGCCUCCCUUGACGACUUCAUUAUCGUUCGUUUUUGUCACUGCCUCCACCUUCGGUUUCUAUCACUUUCGUUCUCCGACGGGGGAGAAUAGUCGUGACUGAAACUAAGAUAGAACUCGGAUUCUUCGCUUCGAGCUCUUCAUCACAAUAUUGAAGAUAAGUUCUCUCUCGCUCUCUGGUUUCAUUUUUCAAUUCAAGCAACAGCAUUGAUUCUCGGCCCUUUUCUGAAUCUCCAGUGGCUUCCUUAUCGACUUUCCUUCACCAUCGCCCUCCGGACACCGUUGGUACACACCGGUCGUUCCCGUCCGAAGUUCUGUUCGCCCCUGUUCUCGGUCAUCAUUGCUGAAGCGCUCGAACUGCAGUCAGCAUGUCUCUCAUGACGAUUCCAGUUCACAAAGCUGCUUCCACGAUCACCUUACUAAGGUCCAAUCAUGAAUCGCAACAGGUAAUUAUCCUCUAUCCAAUCAAAUCACAUAUGCUCUGUUUCAUGGUGUUCUACGUACAAACCACUGCCUGGGUAAAAAUCAAUUAUGACUGAGCCUGUGUUAAUGGUUUGAAUUUGCUACGUUGCUUUGUGAUGAUCUCGUUCACAUACAUGUACUGUAUUGACAUCCAUAUUUGAUUUUCAUAUCUGAUUUUGUAGUGCGUUCUUGAUCUGAGACAUUUUACAGUAUGUUUGUCGACUUACUUUUGUCAAUUGGUUCAAUGCAGGUAUAGAAAAAGUCGAGUCUCGACAUGUUGUGCUGAUCAACGAACCUGUGUUUGGAUUUGCUGGAACUAGCUCAUACCUGACUGGUAAUGUUUAGCUCAUUGAUAUGGUGUUGGGUUGUUUAAUUACUUUUCUCUGCUAAAUCCUACCUGCGAGAUGUUUCGCUCGUGUAUCCCAUUUUAGAACUGAACAUCUCAGCGGAUUGCAUAAAUGGUCGUAGUUUGUCUGCCGCUGCGUCUGUAGAUCAUGUGGCCACGGGAAAUGCACUCUUACAGAUUCAAGCAGUAUGCAGAAGGCUUCACUAGGUGACCAUUGUAAGCUCGAUGAAAGUGCUCCCAGAAGCCCCGAUAAAACCAAGUAAUGAUCUUCUUCGGUAACCAGAAAGUGAGACGGAGUCGCAGCAACGACCAUCUAGUUCGUGAAUAAUUCCCCCAGAAAUGAAAAAUAGAUACAAGAGAAUCUUCUCAAGUAUUAAGGAAAGUACAGAGUAAUAACAACUAUCAGAGGGAAAGGUCACGAGUUUCUAUCUUCAGACUGCUGGAACAUACAAAUUGAAUGCUCUCAAAGG
rnacentral:lncRNA from 1 species